CCACUACUGCUUUGGCUGUAGCAGCUCUGAAUUUGUGACUUGGUCUUGUAUUCCACAGCCAAUGGAUUUAAAUCUUGAUGAGGAGACAUUAAUGAAAAUCGUCCCAUUUUGGAGAACAUCUCUUAGUAACUCCAAGAGUCAGCAAUACUAUUUUGAUCAUUUUGAGAUUCACCCGAUAAAGGUUAGAUGCUUUUCAUUUUAUUCCUUUAUAGAUUGUCUUAAUUAUGCUUAUAAAAAGGUCAUCCUUAUUUAUAGUAUACCAUGGCAACUGACCUGUGUUUGUUUGUCCUGUGUAGAUUUUUGCAAACUUUCUUCCUGGGGACUCGUAUUCAAGUUACAGUUCAGCUGAGGAGACUCUAAGGUCCUUACUGCACAGUGUAGUAAAGGUGUCACAAGAUACUUAUGGAACUUUUCUUUUCUUACACUUAAAAUGUUUAAAUCACUUUGUCUUUUCUUGGAUUUCACGAGAGUGUUUCUCCAUCUAUUUAUUUCCCCUAUUCUUGUAUUUCUUUAGGUCCCUGCGAUUAAAAAUAAGGUUGUAGAGCUCAACGGCGUUAUGGUCACUCAUGCUCUGAUAACAAUGCGUGAAUUACUUAUCAAAUGUGCACAACAUUAUUCAUGGUAAACCUGUCAUAUUCAGUCUUGUUUUGUGAUUUAUGUAGUAUGCUUGUUCAUUUCUGAGCACUAAAUUGAUUAUUAGGUAUGCCAUGAGGGCUAUUUAUAUUGCAAAAGGAAGUCCAUUGCUUCCACCAGAUUUUGUGUCAAUCUUUGAUGACUUGGCUUCAUCCUCUCUUGAUGUCUUCUUUGAUCCUUCCCGUGGGUUAAAAAAUCUUCCAGGUUUGACUUUAGGUAUGCCUUUCACACUUUUAGUUCUUUGAUUAUUCUUUUUCUGUUGUUCCUCUUUUCCUUCUAUUCUCCCCUGUGGCUCCUGUUUGUUUCUUACUUUAGUUGCCCAGUGAUUGGGUUUUUGUUGGUUGGUUGUGAUAUUUCUUUGACAUUUAAAAAAUAUAAAUUCUGUUUUAUUUUUUUAUUUUUUUAUUUUGAUUUCAUUUCUGGGAUUGGGGUCUAACAGAUGAGUGCAUGGAAAGACAAAUUUGUUGAAGUUUCUUUUCAGGGAUUUGUUUGAAAGUGAGGAUCAAAGAUCAAAAUGCCUUUGACAUGUCAUGAGGAAUUAAGACGUGCAUCCAAAUUUCAUUCAUAUAAUAUUCUGGAUUUCUUGAGCUGUAACGGAAUUUGCCAAAUCCUUUGAAUUGAGUAGAAAUGUAUGCCAAAGAUACAGGUCAGAGAGUUCACCUUAACAGGCGAUUGACAACAUGAGAAUCAGAAUUAAGCCUAACAUAUUAAAGAUUUUAGUACCACCGUCCAGCUAUGUAUUUUUGCAUUUUGUGGAUUGUUAUUUGCAUAAAAUGCAUGUUGGCUAUUGUUGCAUUUGCAGGUCUGGUAGAUGUAUCAAGUUGAUUGCUUUUGCCUGUCUUUUCCUGUCUGAGUGAACUUGUAAUUCCACAUCCAUAUAAGCACUUAGGUCUUUCGAAUAACUAUGUCCAGUCCCGACUCUGCAGUGUCAUUUGUCCCCUCUGUUUUAUAUCUGACUUGAAAAUUUUUUUUUUUUUUUUUUUUCUGCUUUGGCAUUAUGGAUCAGGUACCUUCAAAUUAAUCAGUAAAUGUAUUGAUGGUAACGGGUUCUCAGGGACAAAACGCUAUUUUGGUGAUCUAGGAAAAUCUGUAAGUUUUAUAUUCUUUCAGUUACCGAUACGUUUGCAAACUCCUGGACGUACCCAACUAUCAAUUUUAUGGUGGCUUUACAGUUGAGAACAGCGGGGUCAAAUGUACUCUUUGCUGCGGUCACUGAAAUAUCAGACUCUGUUUUGAAGGGUGCAGAAGCAAGUGGUUUUAACGGAGUGGUAGGAUUAAUCUUAACAUUACCAGCUGCACACUUAGUUUGGUUACAUCUGAAUAAGAAAUGACACAUUUUGGCUGUAAUGGUAUUUUUUUCAAGGUGACUGGAUUUCACCAAGGAAUUUUGAAAUUGGCUAUGGAGCCAUCAUUACUGGGGACCGCUUUGAUGGAAGGUGGCCCAGAUAGAAAGAUUAAGCUUGACCGGAGUCCUGCGGCUGAUGAGGUAAUACCUUUUUCAAAUUCCUCUGGUAAGAGUUCUAACAUUAUAUUGGGGGCAUUUACAUGGGAAGCUUUCAGGCUGUGAAUUUCUAUGUUUUAGGGCACAGCUGUUAUGAUGUAAGCUUACUAGUUGAUACCAGAAUGGCAAUGCCAGCAGGCUUAAAUACCUGGUUUUGAUAAUUGUGCCAACAUUUUGAACCCGUACACGAAUCCGCCAGUGAGAACUAAUAUGAAAAUGAGGUUAAGACACGAGUUGAAAUUCAAAUGGAGAUGAGUAGAACAAGUUCAGUUGAUUACGAGUUAUAGAAUUACUUUCUAUGAAAAGUUUAUAUUGAAUCUCAAGUUUGAUCAGACUCAAUUUGGUGAAGCAGUGAGUACUAAAUUCUAAUGGUAAUGGUAAUGAUAGCUAUGCCUGAUUGUAAAUUGUAAUAAAAUUACAACCUUGCCAUAUUCCUUCCCUUGCCUUCUUUCUUCCUCUUAACAGUGUAGUUCUGAACCUAGUAACUUACUGAAAUUGCAUUCUGGUGUAGCUUGUGAAUAUAGCUAGGUAAAUACCAUAAAGAUUAUUACAAGAAAUACCAAAAACCAAUAAAGAGCAACUCUUUUUAGAAUGAAAUGCUGUCCUUUGAAGAUUAAUCACCAAUCGGUUUUUUUGGACUACUGCAGUUAUAUAUUGAAGGUUACCUGCAAGCCAUGUUGGACACAGUGUUUAGACAAGAAUAUUUGAGAGUCAGGGUCAUCGACAAUCAGGUAAUCUUAAAAUAAAUCAGAAAGUUUUUCAGGCAUACAUGGAUAUGAAUUUAAACUCCAUUCAUGCAUGUUUUUAUCUUGGUAUUAGGACUUAUCACUCUGUCUAGUGGCUAGAGUGUUGAAGUUUGGCACACAUUUUAUGUUAGUGUCACGUGAAAUCUUUGUUUGGUAAUGAUGGGUGAGUCCGUGUGCAGUGAAGUUUAUUUGAAUUCUAGCAACAGAAAACAUUUCUACUUGCAAAUCUUUUAGUUGAAUUUUGUUUCAUUGCCAGAAAGUAUUCUACUUGAGAUUCUAAUGUAUGUGUGUGUAUGCUUAGGUUUACCUCAAAAACCUACCCCCGAACAGUUCUCUUAUAGAAGAGAUUAUGGAUCGUGUGAAGGGGUUUCUUGUGAGCAAGGCAUUGCUAAAAGGAGAUCCUUCAAUUACAUCUCGCCCCUUGAGUCAUCUUCGAGGUGAAAGUGUAAGUGUCCCCCCUUUCCCCCUCAACCUUUGUUGCUCAUUUCUGUUCUGCGUGAUUUUUUCCUUAGCUGCGAAUAGAUAUGUACUAUUGUGAUUAUUAUCAUGAAAAAUUCACUUUACCUACUGCAUUUCACCACUUACAUUACAUGAGUUCACCCCAUCAACCAUUAUAAGUAACUAAGAAACUUUUUACAACAGGAGUGGAGACUCGGACCGACUGUGCUGACAUUAUGUGAGCACCUGUUCGUGAGCUUCACCAUUCGAUUGCUGAGGAAGCAAGCGAAUAAGUUCAUUGCCGGCAUCAAAUGUAAUUCGGAGGGUGACAAUGCAAAGGCAGUUGUGCCUGCAAACCCUGCUGAGGUAGCACCCAGGGUUAAGUUCACUUGGAAAUGGGGCAUUGGGAAGUUUGUUUUAUCAGGCAUUGUAGCAUAUAUAGAUGGUAGGUUAUGUCGUUGUAUUCCUAAUCCAGUGGCCCGUCGCAUUGUCAGUGGCUUUUUGUUGACUUUCCUCGAUAACAAGAACAACGAAUGAAACUCCUUUUCCGUUUGCAUUUUUUAUUUCUUCCUCCUUAUAAAUUGUCUAUAUGUUGUAAUUUUAGCAGUACAUUAUAGUUUUUUUUUUUUUUUUUUAAUCUUUUGGGAAGGGGCGAUUCAAACUUAAGAGAAAUGUCACUAGACGAAUAGCUAAUUGGUACAGUAAUAUUUUACUAUUUUAGCAGUUUCCGUUUCAGUCAAAUGGAAGUUCAUAUCUGAAGUUACCCUCGUAAAUGCACAAGAGACGCCCCCAGUUUAUAACCAAACCAACUGAAGUUGCCCAUUGUUUCCUAACUUGGAUGCUUAUCAACUUGCAAAUAUUUGUUGUGGAUUUGGAUGAAACAUGAAAUGAAAAAGAUACUCCAGCAGUUGACUUGAAGGGCCUAUCUUCACAAGUAAAUUUUGGCGCUCAUUCAAUAUUUAACUAAUAAUUGUAUCCUAAAUUCACAGCUUCAGCGAAGCUCAAAUAGUUUUUUUUGUUUAUUUAUGAAAUUUUGAGAAUUCCACUAUUUGGAACAUCAUAAUAAUAUAUCUUAAUUAAAAAUUUAAAAAAACCAGAUACAAAAUAAUUGUAUCCUAAAUUUGCAAAAGAAUCCACAACCAUUUUUUUAGCAAUUUAAUUUGAUUUAUUUGGCACGACUUUUUACAAGAUUUGAUCUAUUACAUUGUUGUUGAAUCAAAUACGAAAUCGUUUCACCGACAUUGUUGGUUUUGGAGCUUUCAAUACAUAAUUUUUAUUUUUUCGAUCACAACUUUUGUUGCUAAAAAACAAAUUUACAAAGAAUAAGGAUAAGGCUGUGGGGGCCAACCCAGUGACAUCAAAGGUUGGUAGAUUCCGUGUUCAUGUCAGUCGUCACACCUCAGGUGGCUGACAAAAUCAACCGCUAUUGCAUUGGGCUCCAUUUCGACAAAUAACUCUCUGAUUUAAUUUUACAAUAAGAGACAACAAAAAAUAAAACAGAAAAUAAACAAAAAUCAUCUUCUGACCCAAAAAUAAAUUUCCACCUAUACCUCUCUCUGGCUAUUGGGAGCAGAAGAUCAACUAUUGUACCCUACGUUACCUCUUGAAAAAAAAAACAUUAAAGCAAUGAAAUUUCACCGUUGAGUCGGCUAAUCACAAUUGUCCAUGGUUUGCAUUGGAUCAGAAAAACUACAGGCCACGGAGAACCUUGAAACCCAACAAACCACUUACAAGCUGUGAGGACCAACACAAAAAUGAAAUAAAUAAAACCAACAAACCACCGAUACCAAUCUCCUAUAAAAUCAAGCCCCAUACGCCAUAAGGCACUCACAUUGCCUCACCCUCCUAUAUUAUAUUAUCCCGACACUACAUCUUUCACAAACUUGCUAUUAUUUCCUCCCCAGAAAAAGAAAAAUGGCUUUCAUCAUUUCUAAAGCUCCACCACAACAAAAGCAACCAUCUUUCUCAGAAGCUGAGAAGAAAGAUGGGCAUGAAGAACUCUCAGAAGCACAGAGUUCUUCCAUCACCAGGCAUGUCUACUUGAAAUCAUCUGCUGCUGCUGCCAUGGACAGAGAUGUUGUUCUUCGACGCAUUCGUCACCACAAGAACUUGAGCAAGGUCAAAAGUGCUUUUCAAGCUCUGAUGGGCAGCUCACAGGAAGCUGCUUCUAUGGCCUCAGUGGACCAGACAUGGCUGCACCAGGAGGACAUUUUCUCUUCCCCUUAAGUCUUUAGUUUAUUGAUCUUGUAGUUUUACUUUUUAUGUAGUACAAGUAGAUGGAAAGCUAUUAUGUCUUAAGCAGGCUUUGGCCAAAGCCAUGAUUAACUGCUUGUUAAAUACCAGUACGGCUUCAACUCAUUAUGUAUCUACUUAUGCCUUCAACCCAUCUGAAGAUUAUAAGCUUUCUUGCUCAUCAAAAUUGAAACAUGUAUGUGGAUCACUGAUCAGUGAGCUGAUAUCAGUGGAAUCUGCAAGCCCCUUGAUAUGAUCUUGAGCAAGAAACAGAUCACUCACUUGAAAGGGACCUGAAGGGCAAUUUAAUUACUUUUGGUGGUCUGAAUCAGAAUGUGUAGAUAGACACUAAUUAAAGCAGCUGAGUUUUCACUUUGGAGAGGGACCUCUUCUAUAAGGACAGAGAGUGAGGAGCUUAUUUGAAAGGUUCAAUCCACCAUCUCAAAUCAUUUAAAAUAAAUGGUGCGAUUGAACCCCUUAAAUAAGCUACUCACUCUAAAUUUCUCGUUAUAGUAAAAUAAAUAGUGCGUUUGAACCUUUUAAAUAAGCUACUCACUCUAAACUCCUCGUUAUAACUAGGGGUCCACACCUGAGCUUUUUAGCCUUUUCUUUUUCUUAGUGGACGUUGAGUCAGUUUUCCUCUGGGCCCGUUGUCUACGUCGUUCUUUUCCUUCACGGCUUCAAUGUGAUCCAACUAAUUCCUCAUAUCUAUUCCAUGCUAGUAAAUGGAUUUCAAGCCUAUCGAAGUAUCAAGAAGCAUAAGAAGAAGAAAAAACAAUAGUUUGAUAUCUUAAUAGAUUAAAGGAUAUCAAAAAAUUCGAGAAAAUAAAAUAGCCCUUCCUCCUACCCCUUUUAUAUAAGUUCUGUGACUGGUGACAAACACCAGAAAGCACAACAAACAGAGUUCUUGGCUUCCUGUAAUUUGGGUUUUUUAUUUUAUUUUUAAAUUCUCUUAAAAUUGAGCAACGCAGCUCAACUUAGAAUUUGCAGAAGAACUAAGGUCAGCUCAAUUCAAUGAAUUCAAUUUCCAACAUUUUUAAAAUCUGCUCCUUGUUGCUAAAAUAUGAAAAUUAUGAGAGAAUAUUUGUUUGUGGGAAUUUUCUGUGUAUUCUUCUCCUUGUAGGAGGUCAUAUUUAUAAUACAACGAAAUCUGAAUGGGCAAGUAAAUAAUAAAUUCCUAAAUCUAUUUACAGUAGGAAAUCAGGAAUUAAAGUAAAUCAAUUACAAUUAUAAUAGGAAUUCUUGGUGUGUAAGGAAAGUAAGUCAAUAUCCACAAGUCACGCCAACACUCCCCCUCACGUUGGUGCAUAGAUGUCGACAAUGCCCAACUGAUCUAGUGAAUUGUGGAAUGCUUUACUGGAAAUCGCCUUUGUCAAAAUAUCCGCCAAUUGAUCCUCGGAUUUCACAAAAGGAAACUGAAACACUUUAGCCUCAAGCUUCUGUUUGAUGAAGUGUCGAUCCACCUCAACAUGUUUAGUACGAUCAUGCUGAACCGGAUUCUGUGCAAUGGCUAUAGCAGCCUUGUUGUCACAAAAGAGAUUCAUUGUGGACGUAGGUUUAUACCCGAGUUCAAUAAGCAACUUUCUUAACCAAAGAAGUUCACAAAUCCCUUUAGUCAUGCCUCUGAACUCGGCUUCUGCACUGGAUAAAGCUACUACAUUCUGUUUCUUGCUCCUCCAUGUCACCAAAUUACCUCUCACGAAUGUGAAGUAACCCGAUGUGGAUUUUCUAUCUGUUACAUUACCUGCCCAAUCUGCAUCUAAAUAACCAUCAAUAUUUAGAUGACCAUGCUUUGAGAACAUAAGUCCUUUUCCAGGUGCAGACUUCAAAUAUCUAAGUAUCCGAAGAACUGCAUUCAUGUGGUCUUCACUUGGAGAGUGCAUAAAUUGAUUGACAACGCUCACCGCAUAAGCAAUGUCUGGUCGAGUAUGUGACAAAUAGAUCAAUCUUCCCAUUAACCUUUGGUAUCUUUCUUUGUUAGUUGGAACUUGAUCCGGAUAUUCUCCAAGAUGAUGAUUCUGAACAAUAGGAGUGUCCGCAGGUUUACAAUCUAGCAUUCCUGUGUCUGUCAACAAGUCUAAGACAUAUUUCCUUUGAGAGAGAAAUAUGCCUUGCUGCGAUCGAGCCACCUCAAUUCCCAAGAAAUACUUGAGUCCACCUAGAUCCUUCAUCUCAAACUCCGUAGCCAGAUAGUCUUGUAGCUGUGAUAUUUCCUGUUUAUCAUUCCCAGUAAUAAUCAUAUCAUCAACAUAGAUUAUUAAUGCUGUUACCUUCCCUUUUUGAUGUUUCAAGAACAGAGUAUGAUCUGAGUUGCACUGUUUGAAACCAUUGUUCUUCAUUGCCAUGGUGAACCGUCCAAACCAUGCACGUGGUGACUGUUUCAAUCCAUACAAUGCUUUUCGUAACCUGCAAACUGUUCUAGUCUGAGUAGUAUUAUAUCCAGGAGGAAUGUCCAUGUACACCUCCUCCGUGAGUUCACCAUGUAGAAAAGCAUUUUUUACAUCAAACUGGUGUAGUGGCCAAUCCAAAUUAGCUGCAAGGGACAAUAAGACUCUGACGGUGUUUAACUUUGCAACUGGUGCAAAAGUUUCUUCAUAGUCUAUACCAUAGGUCUGUGUGUACCCUUUUGCCACAAGUCUUGCCUUGUAUCGCUCGAUAGAUCCAUCUGCAUUGUGUUUUAUAGUAAACACCCAUCUACAUCCGAUAGUCUUUUUUCCUCGUGGUAUAGUCUCCAAUGUCCAAAUCUGAUUUUUCUCAAGAGCUUUCAUCUCCUCUUUUAUAGCUUGGACCCACUUAGGAUCUUUCAAUGCUUCAGAGACCUUGGUUGGAAUAUGGAUAGCAGACAACUGAUGCACAAAAGCCUUGAGUGGUGCAGACAGCUUCUCAGUGGAUACAUGAUUUGCAAUUGGAUACUUGGAUGUCUUGCCAAUAUCCGGUGAAUAACGGUUUGGUGGCUUCCCACGAUUUUGCCUGAAAGGUAAUUGAUAUCCAAUAGUUUUAUCAUCUAAAUGCACAAGUCUAGUAGAAGUAGUUACCUCAAGGAUAUUCUCAGGAGAUUGGUCUGUUGGUACUGUUGAGUUAGAAGGGGAGUCUUCAUCUUGUUGUUCUGUAUUGUCUGUAGGUGUGGGACUCGGAUCAGAAAUAUCUUCACAUGGAUCAGGUGGGUCAGGCAAUUGAUCGCUAUGAAUGGGCGAUUGGUCACUUUUCAACAGAGAGUAAUCUCGUGCUCCAGACUCGGGAUGAUCAAUCAUUUCUGUACAUAGGAGAAUUUCUUUGUUUUCCAAGUUGCUCCAAUUCUGUUCUUCACUUCGUAUCUCCCCCUGAAGCGCAGAAUUGGAUGAUGGGUCAUGGAAGAACAGCUCAGAUUCCAGAAAAGUCACAUCCAAAGUGACAUAGGUUCGUUGGGUAGGAGGGUGAUAACAGCGGUAACCUUUCUGAUGAGUGGCAUAACCCACAAAAACACAACGAAGCGCACAGGGAUCAAGUUUGCUACGUUGAUUUUUGUGGAGAGGAACGAAAGCCACACAUUCAAAGAUUCGGGGUGUGAGUACCAAAACAGAGGGCAGAGGUCUGUGUUGCGCAAGCACCUAUAAAGGAGUUUUAAAGGUCAAUGUAACACCCCGACCCCAAAUUUCUCCAAAUUUUACCCUUAUUUAAUUAUUUAAUUAUUUAAGAGUAUUUUAGUCAUAUUUUUAACCGGGGAGAGUUUGGGACCGUGACUUAUAUUUUUGGAUAGGUCGUACUGAGACGAAUUCAUAGACACGUAGUGGGCUCGAAUCGGAGUUGUAACUAGAGAGAUAUGGUCAAAAGAAGUCCAGUGGCAUAAUCGUAAAUAUUUCAAAAUGGAAUUUUUUAUAAAAUCAGAUUUCUCUCUCUCUCUCUCUCUCUCUCUCUCUCUCUCUCUCUCUCUCUCUCUCUCUCUCUCUCUCUCUCUCUCCCGCGACUUCUCUCUCUCUCCCGUCGGCUCUCUCUCUUUCUCUCCUUGUAUCUCCGGCCACCGACCACGGCUGUGGGCGGGGCCGAUACCAAACUGACCGGGACGACGUCCCCAUCCUUCCCCGACCAUUCCCCGCCGGCGACGCGGCCGUUGCUGGCCGAAAAAUGCAGAAAACCGCCGGAAGGUCGUCGAAACUUCAACGCCGUCGAUCUCCCUCCUCCGGCCACCAUUUCCGUCGACCCAGGUAUGGAUCUUGAACCUCUCGAGCUGUUCUAGCUGCCUGUUGGUUGGGUUUUGAUCGAUUCGAUCUCUAGAUCACUCGAUUUUCGAAUUGAAAGUCGUCCGAAACUUCGGCGGCCGUGAUCGGCCAUUUUCGACCACUUUUUGGGGUAGGUCCAAGAACAAAAGUUGCUCCAAAUAGGGUGUUAUACCUAGGGUAGGAGUUUGGAGCCGAGAUGUUGAGAUUUUUCGGCGAAGCGUUAUCGCUUUGGGCACCCACGCGCUGCCGGCGCGUGCGGCGGCGCGUGGGCACUGUAGAAAAGUAGCGAUGUGUUCCGAUGAGAUCCUUAGGUUGUCACGAGUGCGUAGGAUUUUGCGGAUCUCAAUUCGGACGUCGUUUGACUAUCGAACGGAUAAUCGCAUAGUAUGCGUUAUCCGGGUUCGAUAGGUUGGGACCGUCGGAUGGUCCCAAAUUUAAUAUAUGUUAAUCUAGGUAAUUCUAGGAUCGUGUAGGAAUUCACGGAUCGUGAAUCGGAGCCCCGGAUGUUCCGAAUAAUAAUUUUAAGUUUAUAUUUUAUAUUAACCGUCGGAUCGUGCGAUCGUGAGACAUCCGACCGUCCGAUCUGAACCAAACUUGCAGGACAAGUGUCCUAUACCUGGUAGAACCCAUAGGGACUUCCGGAUCGGAAAUUGGAGGUCGUGGGUUCUGCAGGUUCGGUUGACCAGGGUUAGAAUAGUUUGACCCUUGGUUGACCGUGAAUCUUCCGGAGUAAUCCCACCUUUUUAAGGGGGGAUUAUCGGGUGCUAGACCAUUGUGGAGGAUUACACAAUAUUAGAAUUUAUUUAUAUAAUUAUAAUUAUAUAUGGUUGUACAAGGAUACAACAGAGUUUAGAAUGUCAGUUUGGAGUACUAUACGCACUACUCUAGGUACCUCCUCGGACUUUGGAUUCAUUACAAGCACCACCAAGUGAAAGCUAGGUCUCGCGUGGCGUAGGUUAUCCGGCGUUGGGACAGGCCCCAUACGUGGCGUUGGUUGUACCGGCGUAUGGGGAGCUAUUGUGAUAUUGUGUUGAGGUCGCACGUGGCGUAGGUUAUCUGGCGUGUCGACAGACCCCAUACGUGGCGUUGGUUGUACCGGCGUAUGGGGAGUUAUGUGAUAUGAUGUGCAGGUAUCACGUGGCGUAGGUUAUCCGGCGUUAAGACAGACCCCAUACGUGGCGUUGGUUGUACCGGCGUAUGGGGAGAUAUUAUGAUAGUGUGGCAUGGUCGCACGUGGCGUAGGUUAUCCGGCGUGUUGACAGGCCCCAUACGUGGCGUUGGUUGUACCGGCGUAUGGGGAGAUGUUAUGUGAAAUACAGAGAAAUGAAAUAAGGUAUCGUCCAAGUAUGGAAUUGGAUUGUAGGGAAGAACUACGUGUGGCUUGAUCCCUCAAGGAGGGUACGUAGGCAGCCUAAGGUUAUUAGGUGCAGCCGCAGACUAAAUAUUAGUCAUAUUUUGUAUUUGAAUUGUUUGGUAGUUGUUGGAGAAUUAUUGGAAGGCCAAAGGGCAUUUGUGUGGAUUGCAUGAAAUUAUAUUGUGCAUGCUGCCAGUUGUGGAUAUUAAAUGUGUUUUUAUGCAGGUUGAAAUUUUGGGAAAUGUCCAAAUUAUAGGGGAGACUCUGCCGAAAUUUCGGCAGGAAGUCUCAGUUUUUUUGUAAGUGGGCCUGACAUCGGGGUGAUGUCAGGAAUUCCAAAGGGUUCGUCUCGGAUUUUGAGAAAAUUCGGGGCGGGUCCUUUCAGUCAAUAUACCAGAAGGCAUGCAAUUGAUCAGGUGAACUGCAGUGACAAUAGCAUCAUCCCAGUGAUGGCGAGGAACAUGAGCGCCAAUCAGAAGUGCUCGGGCAGUUUCAAGAAGAUGUCGAUUCUUUCGUUCAGCAACACCAUUUUGUUGCGGUGUCUGAGGACAAGUCGUCUCAUGGAUAAUUCCAUGUUGUUGAAAGUAAGUCUGAAAGUCAUGAUUGACAAAUUCUCCACCAUUGUCUGAGCGAAGAAUCUGGAUUUGAGCAUUAAAUUGAGUUUUCAUCUGUUUGUGGAAGGACUGAAAACGGGAAAACACUUCGUUUUUAUUCUUUAGCAAAUUAAUCUAUGUCAUCCGUGUACAAUCAUCGAUGAAUGUGACAAACCAUCGAACACUAGAAGGAGCAGUGAUAGGCGAAGGUCCCCAGACAUCAGAGUGAAUUAAUGUAAAUGGAGUAGUACACUUGUUCGUGCUCAACGGGUAGGGCACACGGUGACUCUUGGCCAAAAUACAAGUAUCACAUAUGAAGUCAGAGUCUUUGAAACCUGAGAAUAAAUCUGGUAUAAGAUGCUUCAUAGAACUAAAAGACGGAUGUCACAAUCGACGAUGCCACAACCAGAUUUGCUUUUGUUUGCUAUCAAAGAGAUGUGUCACACUGUUAGCCACGCCGGGACUGAAGUCAUCGACAUAAUAUAGCCCCCAUCUCUUAGUACCACGACCAAGAAUCUCCUUAGUGUGAAUAUCCUGAAGCAAACAAAAACUCGGGUAAAUGAGUACACAACAAUUCAAUUAUUCAGUAAGCUGACUAACUGACAACAAUUUAGUGGAUAAAGAUGGAACAAGUAAAGUAUUAGACAGUGUGAGAGAGGAUGAGAGUGCAACAGUGCCAGCCCCUGUCACAGGAUAAGUAACACCAUUGGCAUUUGCAAUACAGGUUCGUCGAGGUUGUGUAGUAUUCAGAAAAUCAUCAGGAUCAAACGUCAUAUGAUCAGUUGCACCAGAAUCAAUUAUCCAGCUCUUGGAAUCAAUCUUAUCGGAAGUAUGGAAUCCAUAACCAGUACCAUUACUGGUCAUAUUGCAUUGUCCUCGAUCUGUAAGAGUAGCCCACCAAUCGGGGUAGCCAUGCGAUGUAAAACAAGUCUCACAAGUGUGUCUCGGAUCACCACAAUAUGCGCAAUUUGGUCCAUGUGUCGGGGUCGUUAGUCUAGAAGUCAUAAUCUGUGCAGCGGAAGAAGCAUAGGAUACAGGUUGAGUAGGAAUUUGGAUCGAAAUCUGAGCCUGAGUCGGGGCCGGAGUCGGAGUCGAAAUCGGGAUCGGGGUCUGAAUCAUAGACAAAUUCGAGGUUGGGGUCAUCAUCGGAAUGGGGGUCGGGGUCGUCUUCGGAGUCGGGGUCAGGGUCGUCGUCGUCAUAGUCGGGGUCGGGGUCGGGGUCGUCAAAAGAGGAUCCUGAUUCUGGAUCGGGGUCUGAAUCAUAGACAAAUUCGGGGUUGGGGUCAUCAUCGGAGUGUGGGUCGGGGUCGUCUUCGGAGUCGGGGUCGGGGUCGUCGUCGUCAUAGUCAGGGUCGGGGUCGUCAAAAGAGGAUCCUGAUUCUGGAUCGGGUUCGGGGUCAAAGUCUGCAUCUGUAGGGGCGGAGCCAUCUGGGCACUCAACUCAACGAUGAUUGGUUGAGAAUGAGAGAAGGAGUCGGUGGUGCUACCUCCAUGAGGGUUGAAAAAAUCAUCAACCCUCAUAGCGGCGGCGGGUUUUGAAACUAGAGUCAGCAAUUCCAAGAUCGCCGCUCUGAUACCAUGCUAAAAUAUGAAAAUUAUGAGAGAAUAUUUGUUUGUGGGAAUUUUCUGUGUAUUCUUCUCCUUGUAGGAGGUCAUAUUUAUAAUACAACGAAACCUGAAUGGGCAAGUAAAUAAUAAAUUCCUAAAUCUAUUUACAGUAGGAAAUCAGGAAUUAAAGUAAAUCAAUUACAAUUAUAAUAGGAAUUCUUGGUGUGUAAGGAAAGUAAGUCAAUAUCCACAAGUCACGCCAACACUUGUUACAUUCAAUGUUGUUUUCUAAAUUUCUCUUGACAUUUGACAUGUUCUUCAAGGAGGGAUGCAUUCAACCUGUUAAAUACAUGUAGAGAAGUAUUUUGUAUUUGAUAUGGCACAUAGGAUUUUAGGACAUGGCAUGUUUUUGCUUAUGCUUCACUUUUCAAACAACAUUUUACAUGAAGAAUACUACCACCUCUCUUACUACUUUACCCAUAAAUCUUUGUUUGAAAUUGUUGUUCUGGUUGGCAAAGAGAUUGCAAAAUCACCAUCUUGCAUUUUUCUUACAACAAGUAAAAAAUAAUCUUAGCCUCUCAAAUUCUUUCGCAGUUAGUAAAAUACGAAUAAAAUACGUACAUGUUUUAUUCAGUAAAAUUUUGGCAAGUUACAACUGAAAAGUUCGGCCACUAUAUAAUAAUAUAUGAAAAUUAUGUGUAUAAUACAUGAAUUUUGUGUGUAUUAUUGAAAAUUUUGUAAAAAACGCAUGUAUUAAACAUGAAAAACACGUACGUACAUGUACAAUACUUGUAUUGUAUGUUAGCUUUUAAAAAAGUGUAUUUUACCGAGUCUUUAAGACGUGUAUAGAAAACGGAAGUAUUAUCAAAAAAUACAUACGCACGUGUAUAAUAUGAGUAUUAAACAUGAAAAUGCUAAAUUUUUUAUAAGGGUAAUAACUCUGGAAAAGUUAAAAAUCAAAAAGGGAUAAUAGAGACUCAAGUAAUGCCCUAAUAGUAAUGGAUAAUGUUAUAAACUACUCUUAUUGAUAAACGAAAAUUGAGGAAAAAAUUAUUUUUAAAAAAAAAUAAAAGAGGGAUCCCACUAUAUAUUUAAAGCGUAUAGCCAGCGGCUAUACUAUUUAUUUUUUAAAAAAUUAAAAAAGGGACCCCAUAUAGCCACGCGGCUAUACUAUUAAUUUUUUUUAAACCACAGUAUAGCCAGACGGCUAUACGCUUUAAAUAUAUUAUAUUUACAAAGCAUAGCCGCACGGAUCUACUAUUUACUUUUCUUAAAAAUAGGGACCCUUUCUCUCGCCUAGGCGGCCUUUAUUUUUAUUUUUUUAUUAAUUUAUUUUAAAAACAUAGUAUAGCCGCGCGGCCAUACUAUUUAUUAUUUUUUAAAAAAAAAAAAGACCCGCCUAGCCCUAGGCGGUCUUUAUUUUUGUUUUUCUAUACUAUUAAAUUUUUAAAAAAUAUCACAGUAUAUAGCCGCCCGGCUAUACUGUUUAAAUAUAUUAUAUUUGCAAAUCACCUUUUAGUCGGCUAAUCACAAUUGUCCGCGGUUUGCAUUGGAUCAAAAAAACUACAGGCCAUGGAGAACCUUGAAACCCAACAAACCACUUACAAGCUGAGGAACAAAACAAACAUGAAAUAAAUAAAACCACCAAACCUCCGAUACCAAUCUCCUAUAAAAUCAAGCCCCAUACGCCAUAAGGCACUCACAUUGCCUCACCCUCCUAUAUUAUAUAAUCCCAACCCUACAUCUUUCACAAACUUACAAUUAUUUCCUCCCCAGAAAAAGAAAAAUGGCUUUCAUCAUUUCCAGAGCUACACCACAACAAAAGCAACCGUCUUUCUCAGAAGCUGAGAAGAAAGAUGGGCAUAAAGAACUCUCAGAAGCACAGAGUUCUUCCAUCACCAGUCAUGUCUACUUGAAAUCAUCUGCUGGUGCUCCCAUGGACAGAGAUGUUGUUCUUCGACGCAUUCGUCACCACAAGAACUUGAGCAAGGUCAAAAGUGCUUUUCAAUCUCUGAUGGGCAGCUCACAGGAAGCUGCUUCUAUGGCCUCAGUGGACCAGACAUGGCUGCACCAGGAGGACAUUUUCUCUUCCCCUUAAGUCUUUAGUUUAUUGAUCUUGUAGUUUUACUUUUUAUGUAGUACAAGUUGAUGGAAAGCUAUUAUGUCUUAAGCAGGCUUUGGCCAAAGCCAUGAUUAACUGCUUGUUAAAUACCAGUACGGCUUCAACUCAUUAUGUAUCUACUUAUGUCAUGCCUUCAAGCCAUCUGAAGAUUAUAAGCUUUCUUGCUCAUCAAAGUUGAAACGUGUAUGUUGAUCAUAAUUCAUAACAUUUUUACCUGUGAGCUGAUAUCAGUGGAAUCUGCAAUCCCCUUGCAGUGAGCAAAUGAACAAACACGAAUUUUGAUAUGAUCUUGAGCAAGAAACAGAUCGCUGAAGGGCAAUUUAAUUACUUUGUGCAUCAAUUUAGAGCAUACAACAAACUAUCUGAUGGUGGAAAAGUGGGGGAAACGAUCGAAUAGGAGAGAGAUACAUUCGUGUUGCCUUUUGGUGAUCUGAAUCAGAAUUUAUGUCGAUAGACACUAAUUAUAGUGUAAUAUAGUACAAUUCUCUUUUAUUUAUGAGCAAGUCCAUGUUUUAGCUGCCAAAAGCAGCUGAAUUUUCACUUUGGAACCACCAAUGAAAUGAAGAGUAGGUGAAAUAUAAUAAUGGCUCCAAUAGAUUUCCCAACCGUAAUCAUAGAUUGUAAAAAGAAACAUAAGGACUUAAGCAGGACCAGGGCCUAGGACUAGGAGAAGGACAAACUCUUAAAAAUAAUGCUCAUAACAUAUGUAUUGCAUGCAUCUUUCAAAUGUUUCUUUCUCAUCAUCAAGCUCUAACCAAGCUUUGCCCAGUUCUUAGCCUCCCACCCUACACAGAACUGAGCAGCAGACUAGUGCUGGCACUAAAUAUGUUUCAAAAGAUCAGGGUGGAAAAACUCUUUCUUUUAUCAAUAAAACAAAAAGGAAAGAAAAAUAAUGUCACAGAUGAUGGAGAACAAUGCGACUACAACACAAUGGCAGAUUCUAUAAAAUAAACAGUUGGGCCAUGGGGACAUGAUCCCUCUCCAUUUUGAUCAUUCAUAGGCAUGCCCUCCUAGAGGAGCCAAGUACGAUACAUAUCAGCAUAGCUCGACUAAGGGAAUACAAUAUCAUAGCACAUAUCAAGAGAAAAAAUGUAAGAAAAUGCUGGCAUUUAGCUCGUCACGUUUUUACUCAACAAGCCAGAAGAAGAGAGGAAGCGUAAGGCUUGGUUGGAGUUGUUCAACACUGCAUGUGAUCUAGACACCUGCAUUUUCCUUUUCUCCAAGAACGCCAAGGAAUUCUGUAAGCAUUUUGGAGCAGGUGUCUCCUUCAAAAUAACAGUAUCAACCCUGCAAAUCAAAAUAAAAGGAAAAAAACGAAAUUACAUAUUCAUUCAAAAUGGAGUGAGAUCAAAAGUAUUUUUCUCUGUCCUUAUAGAAGAGGUCCCUCACCCUGAGCUUUUUAGCCUUUUCUUUUUCUUAGUGGACUUUGAGUCAGUAUUCUCAUCCUCAGAGUCUGAGUGGAACACUUGUCUGCACAUUGAAUUUGGCAAUUUGGUUACAAUCUCAUAAGAACUAAAGAUCAUCAUCCAGAGAGAGAGAGAGAGAGAGAGAGAGAGAGAGUCAUACUUCUCACGAGCUGCAAGCAAUUCAACAAUGUUGCUUGGAAGCAUCCCUGCACUACCCAAAGAUUCUUGGUGUGUUUCAGUUUCAGGGGCAUCUUGAACACUUUCAACUCCAGCAGACGGCUGUGGUGUUUUCUUUGGUGUUUUCCUUUGGGCCCAUUGUCUACGACGUUCUUUUCCUUCACGAACCACCCUAUAUAGAGUAAUAUCAAUUUCCGUUAAAAUUUAUGUCUUAAGCAAAAUAAAUGCAAAAGGUGGAUACCAAAGCUACACAAACUAAUUUCAUAUUUUAUUUUUAUGUUUCACAAAUUGGUGAUUCACCCCCAAAAAUGAUAAAAGAAAGAGAAUCCACAAUCCAGUAACACUUCUUGAAUCAACUUUUUGAAGGUUUCCUAAGAGUCACCUGAUAAUGCAAAGCAUCAAACUUCUUAUAGGCACAGAAACAUACAAAACAUUGUCCAUAAAAAACUGUCGGAUAUAACUUCCAUGUGAUCCAACUAAUUCCUUAUAUCUAUUCCAUGCUGGUAAAUGGAUUUCAAGCCUAUCAAAGUAUCAAGAAGCAUAAGAAGAAGAAAAAACAAAAAUUUGAUAUCAUAAUAAAUUAAAGCACAUCGAAAAAUUGGAGAAAAUAAAAAUAGCCCUUCCUCCUACUCCUUUUGUAUAAGUUCUGUGACUGGUGAGGUGACGAACACCAUAAAGCACAACAAACAGAGUUCUUGGCUUCCUGUAAUUUGGGUUGUUUAAUUUUCUUAAAAUUGAGCAACGCAGCUCAACUUAGAAUUUGCAUAAGAACUCAGGACAGCUCAAUUCAAUGAAUUCAAUUUCCUACAAUUUUUAAAAACCAAACAAGACCUUAAUUAAAAUCAAAACAGUGUUUAGCAAAAGAGAGCAAGGUGUUAAGUGACCCACCUCGCUUUGUUCUCUUUCUGGACCUUACUUAGUUCUUCAUCUUGUUGUAUUCCCUGUAACCAUUACCAAAACAAGAACCAAGUUCUAAACUUUUGCUUUCUGAAAUAAAAAUAUAAACUUUAAAUUCUCUUCAUAGACUUAGAUUACCUGCUCGGCUGUGAGCUCCUCGGGGGCGUCCGAAUCGUAAUCUUCUCUGUCCGACAUUUUCCAACCCCCUUUUUUUCUGGUCUUGGGAGAGUUUCAGGAGCGCCUAGGGUUUAUGGUUGAAGGCUCAACCUACUCAAAGAAGACGAUGCUGAUUCUGAAAUUUUGGGUCAUGGAAGAUUUGUUGUUAGUGCUCAAAAUAAAAGCAAGGGCCCAAUUUCAAUUAAGUAUUGGGUCUUGGGCUCCUGGUCUUAUGGGCUAAAGGGUUACUCUGGCCCAUAGCUGACUUCCUCCAUCUGUUUUCUUUUUUUUUGAGAGAGACUUCAUCUAUCUAUCUUAUUCAAACAUCGGUUUAAUGGUAAUUCUCUCCAAUUUUGGAAAAGAUCUCUGACUCUAAUCUCCCGUUAACAGAUACAUAAACAUAACAUUUGUAACUAGUUAAACCUUGAUCAGUAACUUUUACCCAUAAACCCGAACAAAGUUACAUUAAGAUAAUCAACUAACUAAAAUCUCACAGUACUUCUUUUUCCAAAACUGAAAGAAAGUACAAGUUUAAUACCCUAGGCCUCUUAUCCCAUUGAUUAAAACAAAAUUACAUUAAGUUAAGGGGGAAAGAAAUAAAAGUUGCUUUUGUUUGGACUUUUUGUCCAUUUUAAAAUAACACAACAAAAAUAAAAGGCCCCAAAAUAUAGUAAUGAUGCCAUGGUUUGUAGUGCACAACACGCCAUAUGAUUAAAAUGCAAUAUGAUUAAAACUGGUAAAAUCAAAUUAGGAUCAUAUAUUGGUUGGUUUAGUAGUUGAUUGGGAUUAGAUUUUUAAAUAGUUUAAUCUUCCACUAGUGCCAUUUUCUAAAAUGUAAUCCAACAAAAUUAUGUGGUUGGGAGUGUUGGAGAAUCUUAUACCAAACCUGGUCAUGCAUAUUGCAUAAGAUAAUCCUGUCUAUUUUGCACUAUAAUAAUAUUAUAUUAGUGAAACGACUUGGUAAAUUAGCUUGUAAUUUUGAGGGAUACAGUUGUUUGGCACCGACUUCACUCCCAACGGUCAAAAGAUGCAGAUUAUCUGUCGGUUGAUGAUGCUUGAUUGAAAACAACAUCCCCCAGAGGCAAUGCUCAACUCACUUUUUUAAGCAAUAUGAGCUAAACGUUAGUGAUGAUGUGACCAAAACGAAGUAGCUAAGCUAAACAUCUUGGAGAAGUCGUUGAACCAGCUCCAACGAUCAGUUUGGGCCUCUGAUCAUCCACUUUUUUUGAGUCCAAGUUUCAUGUGAUUUACUAUUUUGCACCCAAUACCUAGAUAUCUGUCUGCUCUGUAUGUUGGAUUAGGAAGUUGGUACAUAUGAGACAUAGGUCAAGAAUCCUUUUCAUUUUUGGUCUAUGUUGGCUUCUCCAAUAUGAAAUUUUAAUCGUCUUUGGAGCAGAUAUACAACUAACACACACAAAGAGAGAAUAUAUGUUUCCAGCAAUCAUUUUUGUUAAUGUGUCUUCUUUUUCGAGUCAAGGAGAGUAUCAUCAUCGUUACGGCUGAAACGAUAAGCUUACACCACUUUUAAAUGUAUUUUUGAGAGUCUAAUUGAAGAUGCUGGUCAACCAGUUUGGCCGUAUGGAAUUGGCAUCCUCCAUGGCAAUUACUAAUGAUGCUCCAUCCACGCAUAAUAUUUGUGCCAGUCAAACCAUUUGCCGUUUGCUUGCUCGUUGUUAUUCGAGAAACAGCUUCCUCCUAAUUUGGCUUUUUGGUGCUAUUGUCGAACAAACGAAAGGCAAUUUCUUUUGGUUGAAUAAUAAUUUGAAGUGGAUAGAGACAAAUCCAUGUGUUACAAAGUAGAUGGCUCAGAUAAACUCAACUUCGUCUCCAACAAAUUUUAUAAAGUGUGAGACCCUCCAAUCACGCCGCAAUGACCAUGUCAGGGUUCAUGAUAUUAGUCAAUGUCGAACAGUUGUUCAAUUUCGAUGAGCCUAUAUAUAUAUAGGGUUGAAGAGCAAUACUACUACUAUAACCAGCAAUAUGUCAAAAUAUAUAAGCAACAACAAAAUAUGUACACUUCGCAUCUUGCAAUGCAACAACUUCGGUUUCUAAUAACAACUAGGAGCUUGUUACCCUAUAUUAAAAGUAAAACUGACGGAUUAAAAGUAAAAAUCUUAUGUGUAACGGGAUAUAUGUAUUCUCUUUCUGUAAUCACAUGAUUUAAUGCUUAUUUAUAGUUACGUGACCAUGACGGAGCUAGACUACAAAUAUUGGGAGGUCAAUAGCUGAGAAGUUUAUAAACUUAUUAUCCACAAAUUUUCAAAGUUUUAUAUAAAAUUUCAAAGAUUUUUUGGAAUUUUGGGGACCACAAUCACUUCAAGUUUAUAUGUAACUUCGUCUUUGCACAUGACUAUGUUAUUGUGAGAGAAAAAUAUUAUAUACAACGGAUUAUACUUUAAAUAUUUUUCCAACAUAUAGUGUUUCUUUUCAUCUUCCCUCACAUAGUUUGUGGUGGAUAAUUUCUCAAAUUUUGUGGUCGAAAGUUAUUAUAUCUAGUGAUGAUUAGAAUCAGAUAUGAAAAGCCGCACGAUGUUUGAUUUGUGGUGGGAGCAAGAAAUAUAUUUUAUCAUGGCAAAUGACUAAACUCACUUAGUCUCACUAUUCGUUAAACAAAUCUAGAGCCGUCCACUGAUAUAUGCCCCCCAAUUUUACCCCGUAAUUAGUAGAGUGGAAAAUGCCACACUUUUCUUCCUUCCCGUGAUGGAGAGUGGGACUCGAUGGUCAACAAUUUCGGCCAUCGUGGGUAUUAUCGUCAAACAUUUUGACCUCCUUAUUCGUCACGGCAGCCAUUUUUGCAAAAACUAAUCAUUAAAAAACACACUUCGAUUAAAAUUUUACGAGUUUUUCAUUAAACUUCGUUUUCGGUUUUGUUUUUCUUCCGAAAAUGACCCCUCGAAAGGUUUGGCACCAUUUGAAUUGGUCAAAAGCAUUAUUGGAUUUGACAUCAAUUUCCAAGAGAGAUCCAAACACUGCCAACACAUGCACGAACAUUUGGGGAAGCAUUGCCACCAAGCAAGGAAGAAAAACAAACUUACGAUAGAGAUAGCACUUGCUAAUAAUAUGUUAUGUGAAAAUAUUAUUACGUGUAUUAUAAAGUUAUUGGUCGAAGAUAGUAAAAUAGUCAUCUUUUUCCAAAUAAUAAAGUAAAAAUGUAACAUCACUUUGCAAAUUGUGAUAGGUUGAUGUGGCAUUUUUCCGUUCAAAUUAAGUACACUACAUUGUAGUAAGCAAAGUUUUAAUACUUGAUGCCAAAAGUUUAUUCAAUUGCAAGUCACUUGAACUUUGAUUAUUGGAAUCUUUCGGCUAGGUUGAAAUCAAUCUGCAAUAUGGAGAAAAGGAUCCAUAAGAUCUUGGCACAAUCAGGGACGGAUCCACAGAGGAGCAAGGGUGGUCAAUUGACCCCUGCAACUCCAGAAUCCGCCACUAGAGGAAGAAAAAUUGACCCCUGCAAUGGCUGGAUGGCUGGGCAAUUCAUGCCCGCCAUCUGUUUGAGGAAAUGCCUCAAAGGGUUGCAGCAACUUCAACUUCAGCGCAGCAAGAAGGAGUGCACGCAGAGCGCUUCCUUUUUUUCGUCCAAAAGUCCCUCUUCCUAAAGUGGAUAUCAGCUGGAUAUCAGCUUCUUGCUCUUUGCAAAGGGUGGUUUGGGAGAACAGUGUCAUUGGGAAAAUCAAAGCUUUGCCAUCGAAUUUUACCAUGUGCAUCUUUCAGAACAAGGUUGCCAGAAUUCAAAAGCUCUGCUCUCUCAACAUCAAGACUACUGGAGUUGGUGCUGGUCUGCCAGACAAUUGCGCCAUCCACAUCGGUCUCAAGACCAAUGAGCCAUCUUUUCGAAGCGAAACUCUGGCGCCAAGGCUAUUGACAGUUUUGUCUCUGUUAGCCAUCCAAACAACUGUUCUGCUUUUAGAGUUUGUGAACCCACAUGUGAAAGACUCAUCUGGGGAAGUUACUUGAUUUAAUGUGUUUUCUCAAUUGUUUUCUCAAUGAAUUAUAUAUGAAUGAUAAUUUAUCGUUUUAUUUUUAUGGGAUGAAUAUUGAUGUUUUUCUUGAUUAGUUGUUGAGGUUUUUUAUUUUAUUUUUUCCCAAGGAGGUUUAAUUUUGGUUAGUUACCUUUAGUUUGAAUAAAGGAUUUCUUAAUAAUAAAAAUAUUUAUGGGUAUAUUUUGUAUAGAAUUUUUUUAACCUUUUAAAAGUUGACCCCCGGAGGAAAAAUUCCUGGAUCCGUCCCUGGGCACAAUGUGGUACUGAUCAAAGACAUUUCAAUACUUAAGUUAGCACGAAUGUUUAUGAGUAACUAAUUUAGCAGAGUAAUUGUACAUGUGCAAGAGGCCUUAAGUGAGGUCCCUAAAUGAUUUGGUCAAUGUGGGACUUUUGUCCUAUGAGGAGGGUGCUAACAUAUGUCCUUAUUUCGAACAGGAAUGCCCUUCGGUAGCAGCACGGCAUGUGUGAGGCAAGUGUCUUUAUUUCGAGAGCGAGUGCCUUGAAGAUAGUGGCACGACAUGUCUCAAUCGGUCAGUGACUCCUCCUACUUGGUCCUCAGUAGGUGUAGGUUCAUCGUUGUCUUAGGCUACUAAAUCUGCUUGGUUAGAUAUAGUGUAAAUACAAACGAUAUUAAAAAAGGAUAUAAACUUGAACACAUGAACUCGAAUGUAGAAUAACUAAUUUUAACAACUUAAGCUACAAUCUCAUUGCGGCCCUACAAUGUCUUUUGAUUGAGGCUGCAUGCCUUUGCUUCGGAUGAUGCAUAGUAGCAGGGGCAUGCUGGGCUGCUGCCCGACCCAAAAUAGCCCCCAAAAAACCCUAUCUCUAAGGUACCCAUCCAGAGCCAGCCACGUUCUCUUCUUCUUACGCGUUUUGACUUUUUGCCCAUCAUUGGCGGAGGCGGAGGCUAGCAGCUCGAAGGACUAUAAUUUAUGAGGUUUUUGUUCUUCUUGCUAUGAAUUUAGGUUUUUGUCACCAUCAAUUUUUUUAGGAUUUUUUAUUUGUUGAUAACAGUUUUCAUACUUUAGAUGAAAUCUUGCAGAGACUGGUAUAUAAAGAAGAAGAUCAGGAUUGAAGGCUAAGCACUCACACCCCUUAUCAGAGUGAGAUCCGAUCAUAUUUUCUUUGUCUCCUACUUUUUAUACUUCAUUUUUUACUGUGUUUGCUUUCUACUUCAAGUUUUUGCUAUCUACUCUUAUGUUUCUAAAUUUGAAAAAAUUAUUUUAGACUUUUAGUCUCUUUGUGGCACGGAAGGCUAACCACAUACUUCCUUCCAAAAUAUCAUAAAGCCAGUACUUGUGUCGUUUUUGUUAUUUGUUGAUAAUAUAUGUGGCUGUUAUUUGCAUCUUUAUGCUAAUAUAUUGAAGGCAAAAUAUAUUGUGCAUUGCAUAUAAUCUUUGGUCUGAUUUUGUUGUUGGUAUGUUUGAUUAAAAGCAUUUCUACAUAUUAUUUAUGGGUCAUAUUUUAUUAUGUCGGAUCAUAAUCGGAACCCUAAAAGAAGAAAAAAUUUGUUUCCUUUUCAUAAGAUCAUCAUCUAGUUUAAUGCCUUCUAACCCUUUUUAUUUAUUUAUUAUUAUUAUUAAGCUUUUAUUUAUGUAUAGAGAUGUAUUUGAAGAUAAUGCUCAUUACGUCUCUCUGACUAGGUAUAUCUUUUUAUAUUUCUUAAUAAAAUUUACUUAUACUGUCAGUUUAGUAUGUAAAUUUUGCGGAUUUUAAAUCUUGAAUCCGCCAAAGCAUAGUAGUAGUAACCAAACUCGUUAACCAAGUUUGUGAUCCCGACUCUGCUGCAAUUUUGAGGCUAAAACUUAUUACACAAAAGAGAGAAAACAUGCCCAUGCCAAAAGCAUCUGGAUUUUUGUUUUUGUGUGUGUUCAUUUAAAAAGGAAAGGCAUAUAGGAAUAUAGUGGAGAUGAAGCUGCUGGACUAGAGAUACCCCACCUCCCCACCUUCAUCAAAUGAAACCAAUUUGCUAAUAAAAUAAAAAUGGUGUGUUCAUAUGCUGUCCACACACAACCUCUGUGUCAGUCAAACCAUUUAUAAUUUGCAAGCUGACCUCAACAUUCCAACAUCUGUAAUUUCCAAUUCCCUCCGAGGUCAUUUCUGUACCAAAACAUUUCUUCUAGUUGCAGAAACAUAAAAAAGGCAUCUUGCCUACUCAAGUCUUUUCAGCAAAAAAACAACACAUUGAAAAUUUGACGCAGCAACAUGUAUUUUACGUUUUAGGAGUUGCAGAGAGGCUUGGAAAAGAAAACGAGAAAGCUUUUUGCUUUGAUGAACAAGAAGCUCAGCUAGCAGCAACAUUCAACUUUGCUGAAUUAAGAAGAACCAGAGACCCCAUUAAUUUCAUGCAAUUGCCUAUAUCCAAUCCCCAUAAACAAAGCAGUUAAUUACACCUUGAACAGGAAGGCCAGAGCAAUUAAUCCAACCACCAUUGAAGAAGCUCCAGACCAGAGGUAAGCUCUCAUAAAUUAUAACUCAACAAACUCAAAAUCUUUAUUAAGAACUCAGAAGCAUUUAUUGAAACAGAUGGCUUCCCAACUGUCAUAUUUAAUUGCUCAAUUUUCAAGCUUUCAUCUUUAUUAAAACCUAGAAUCUCUCCUGGUCUUCUUUUUCAAAUUUCACUUCAAUCAACAAUUUAAUUUGCAGAAAGGUGACGAAUCUGAUGACUGAUAAGCACCCAGCUUCCUCCGAACCCAAUUGAAGAUGGUUCUCCACCAAAAGUCUCUGACUUUUAUCAUUAUCAUCACCAUCCUUGUCACUACAACCUCCAUAGCCACCAUAGCCAGAGCUCAAAACUCAAGCUCCUGCAACCCCACAUGCGGAUCGGGAAAAUCAGCCAAGUCGGUUCAGUACCCAUUUGGGUUCUCAAAAGGAUGCGUAAUCCCAUUGAACUGUUCUGACAAAAACGAAAUCAAACUCGGCGAAUUCACAGUCCAAGACGUAACCAGAAGCAGCAUCUUCGUCCACCUCCCUGCAAAAUGUAACAGAAAGUACCAAUCCAUAGCCCCUCUCUUCGGCCUAAACUUCGGCCCAAGCUGGAACAACAGCCUUCUCUUCCAAAACUGCACAUCCCCACUCCCUGGCUGCCAAAUCCCAGCUGAAUUUGUUCAGAAGCGGUUCAAUUUAUCCAGCUGCGAUAAUAUCACCUGUAUGUCACAGCCGCCUAACGGCUCCGAUAUUAUGACAUUUGAGGACUUGAAUCGGACCCGGUGCAAAUACUUGUUCGGGUCGUUUUCGGUUCAGUCGGGUCGGGACUCGCUGCUGUCGCUCGAGUUCGAGACGCUUCAGUUGGGUUGGUGGGUCAACACCAGCCUUGGUGAAUGCCAUUCGAAUGCCAUGUCUACGACGGUGAAGCCCGGUGGGGGGAAGCCGCCUGGGUGCCGAUGCAGCUGCAACGCUGGGUUUGACGGCGACGGGUUCAAACUCGGGUCGGGUUGCCAGCCAGUGAGCCAACCGGGUACUGUUUAUUUUUGAAGUGUUGAAAUUAUUUUAGUGGUGGUCUUUGACGGGCAAGUUAAGUGGAAAAGUCACAGUUGGGCGCAGCGGGGUUUUUGGACUUGUCCAAUGAUGUGCUAACACGUCAUUAUUUAUUUAUUUUAUAAAUGAUUUGUUUUUUUGGUGUGACCAAAAAGUCAAUUAAAUUGGAAAAAAUGAGGGGUGCAUGGUAAAUUUUGGUUAGAGCUUCUAAAUUCUAAAUGUGUCCAAUUGCAAUUAAUUAAUUAGUUUGAUGAUAUAUAAAGACAGAAAGUCAAUUUGUAUGAUUUUGUGGUAAACUCUGCAGGCAGCCACAUUGGAUUUGAUUUGGUCAUAACAAUGUCGGUAUGGCCUAAAAGCUGGAAGUUUUACUUGAAUAUGAAUUGAUAUGAGUAUUUGAGCAUAAUUUUAGGAAGAAUUAAAUGUACCAAAUAUAUAGUCCCUACAGAGUUGCAAUGAAAUUUCAAUAUUCUAAUGCUUAUUAGUUUAAUGUUUAUGCCAGAAUUUUUAUUCUUUUGUUUUGAAUGGUCUCCUUCCCAACCAAAGAAUCCUCCAAAAGUCAAGACCUUUGGCCAGUUUUCCCUCUUUGUUUAUAGAGGGAUGUUAGGUGAAGCACAUGCCUUCACUAGAUAGAUUGGGACCUUGGAUCAAUACAAGGGGAGAGAAGACUAGGAAAAUUUGUAAAUAGACUUGUAAAGUUACAACAUCAGUUUCUUUGGUGCAACUGUUCAUGCAAUGGGCUUGCUAUCUGAUGUUUGUCGACUGGUUGAGUUGCAACAGUGUAACUGAGCUUGAUAGUAGAAGUUAUCUAAUUGGCAUCUCAAUUCUUCAUGGGGAUGUAUCACACUUUGUGCAGAUGCUUGGUAGUGACCUAUACACCUUUGGAUUUGUAAUGUGUUCUGGUCCCUGAAACCUUUUCGAGAGUAAAUUUUGUCAAAAUAAAUAAAUACUUGCUGGCCUGUGCAAAAUGUUAUAGUUGGAAAGUAACACUCAGGGGAAGUGAGAUUUUUUUUUUUUUAUCAUUGACCGUUUACUCAGUGAUCUUGCAUUCCAGUUCUCUUUAUGAAUUAAAAUACGUCUGUAAUCAUUACCAAGAACAUACAUCUUUAGCAUUAUGAAACUGAAAUGUAUAUAGCGUUGCAAUUUCAAACUGUGUAAUCUGUUCUAAUAGUUUUUUUUACUGGUUGCCAUGUCUCUAGUUUCUCAUUGCAAUGCUUCAAAGUACAUGUCUGGUCGUUGUGGGGGAACAACUAGAGUUGCUGUUCUUAUCGGAGGUAAAUUUUCUACUCAUUUUUUUUCUUUUCAAAAUUUAUCAUAUGCACAGCUAUGCUAGCUUAUUUUCCUUUUCAAUUUGUUAUUUCCGACGAAAUACUUGGAUAUAUCUGCUACAAAGUUAUCUUAUUCUUUGCAGUCUUGUGAAAAAUUGUCAUCAUCAAUAUGUGUGUUUACUGCUUUUAGUUGCAGCUAUGGACGUGGUGGUUUUUACACAUGUAAUCCAUAUGAGUUGAUUAGUUGUCCUGUGGUUUCCUUUCUUUGAAUUCCUAAAGUAGAUGCCCUUCAAAAUGAAUGCACGUGGUAGUUUUAAGUUGCUGAUGCAAUGGUGCUGCGCAUUUCAUCAAAAAAAUAAAAGUAAAAGAUUGUGCAGCACACGUUUCUUCAUGCUUCCGAUCUCUGUUGUCUAUGUCCGGCUAUACAGUUUACUUGCACGCACCUUCCUUUUCCCUUUAUUUGAUAUUUGUAGAAUAAUCAACAGGUUUGUUGGGUGUUUUCAACAAAAAUCUUCAAAGAAUUGGUUAUGGUUUAGCUCAACUGUAGAAUAACAAAUUUUUGCAUGCCUUUUUAUUUUUUCUGGAUAAGCUUAAUUCUGACAUGAUAUUUCUUAAAGACAUCAGAGGAUCAAAUGAUAAACAUACUGGUGAUACAAUUUGGCUCUGUCCUAGUAGCCUUAGCUGAGAUAUUGAACAUUACUCAAUUAAAUUUCAUAUCUUUGGUUAUACUAUGUUUUUUUUUCUGAAUAUAAACAUUAUAUUUGGUUAUAUGUGGGACCUUUUAUAUAGCAUCAUGUGUGGCAUUGCUUUUUUCUUAGGGUUUGUUGCUGGAGCUUUCUUAAUGGCCGGUCUAUUUCUUCUCUGCUACUUUGUUCGACGCCGUUCCACUUGCUUGAGAAACCAGCUGUGUGCAAGGCGCCUUCUAAGUGAAGCUGCAGGCAACUCUAGUGUCCCAUUAUAUCCCUAUAAAGAAAUAGAAAGAGCCACUAAUUGCUUUGCUGAGAAACAAAGGCUGGGCACAGGGGCUUUUGGUAUAGUGUAUGCAGGAAAACUCCACAAUGAUGAGUGGGUUGCCAUAAAAAAGAUUAACCGGCGAGACACCAACAGCAUUGAUCAAGUCAUGAAUGAGAUCAAGCUCCUUUCCUCUGUGAGCCACCCGAAUCUAGUACGCCUCUUAGGUUGCUGCAUAGAGGGGGGUGAACAGAUCCUUGUCUAUGAAUAUAUGCCUAAUGGAACUCUGUCUGAACAUCUGCAAAGAGAGAGGGGCCAAGGACUUCCAUGGACCAUAAGGCUCACGAUCGCUGCCGAAACUGCUAAUGCUAUAGCCUAUCUCCAUUCUGCAAUGAAUCCACCAAUCUAUCAUAGAGACAUCAAAUCCAGCAAUAUACUCCUGGACUACAACUACAAAUCAAAGGUAGCAGAUUUUGGUCUUUCUAGACUUGGGAUGACAGAAUCAUCAUACAUAUCAACGGCACCACAAGGGACUCCGGGCUAUGUAGAUCCUCAAUACCAUCAAAACUUCCACCUUUCUGAUAAAAGUGAUGUUUACAGUUUUGGGGUAGUGUUAGUAGAGAUAAUAACCGCGAUGAAGGUGGUUGAUUUUGCUCGACCUCAAAGUGAGGUUAAUUUGGCUGCACUUGCUAUUGAUAGGAUUGGGAAGGGAUGUGUGGAUGAGAUAGUGGAUCCCUUUCUUGAGCCAAACAGGGAUGCUUGGACUCUUUACUCAGUUAACAAGGUGGCUGAGCUUGCAUUUAGAUGCCUUGCUUUUCACAGUGACAUGAGGCCUUCUAUGAUAGAAGUGGCAGAAGAACUAGAGUACGUCCGGCGCAGUGGGUGGGCAACAAUGGAGGAAAAUAUAUGCAUGGAAUCAUCUGCAGCAUCCUCUUGUUCAUCGCCAUAUAACGGAAGCGAGAAGUCAUUGGGAGGUGUGAUGACUAAGAAGGCCGGUAUACGAAGCCAAAGAUCAAUUGCUUCACUAAGGGUGGAUAGUUCUCUAGCUACCAUGGAGGAGGACAACGACAAGGAUAGCUCCCCUGUUUCUGUACAUGAUCCUUGGUUAAGUGAACAGAGUUCACCUUCAACAAACAGCUUAUUGGGUAAUGUAGUUCACUGACAUAAGAUUAAGACAGACUCUACUCUUUUUGUGUGCUUAGCCUCAUAUAUAUUACUAUCGUAUAAAAAAGAAUUGUUAAUAGUGAAAACCAUAGAGGUAUUUUUGUCUUGUUUUUGUGCUUUGAUUCUCCUCUUGUUUACUCAAUUACGAAGUAGAAGAAUGUUGAAAGAUAAGAUAAAGGAGUGCAAAUGGAUAAAAUAUGAAUGCUAAACUCGUGAUGUCUAAUAUACGGCCACCAUUUCCGCAUGAAAAAAAAAAAAUUCAGCCACCAUAAUCUCUGUAUUUGAUAUACAAAUUUCAAAUCACACAUUAGUACUAAAUACAUUGUGGAUUCAUUAAUAAAUUGUGCAUUUUGUUGGAUUCAAAACCACGUGAGUCUCUAUUGUCCAUUGCUAUUAGGCUAUCAUCCGAGUUUUUAUUGUUUCCUUUUGAGUUUUUACUUUUCCAGAGUUAUUACAUGUAUAAAGAAUUUAGCAUUUUCACAUUUAAUACUCGUAUUGUACACAUACGUACAUAUUUUUUAUGUUUAAUACACUUAUUUUUUACAAAAUUUUCAAUAAUUUACACAAAAUUCACCUAUUAUUCACAAAAUGCUCACAUAUUAUUGAAUAAAAAUAAAAUAUAUCUAAAUAUUUAAAUACUAAUUAUUCACUAAGUAAAUAAUAAUUAAAACAUAACUACUAAUUAAAGUAAUUUAAAAAGAGAAAUUUAGAGAAUGCUAUUCAAUGUGUAUAGCCGCGUGGCUAUACUUACAAAAUUUUCUAUUUACAGAGUAGGGCCGCACGGCUAUACUGUAAAAAAAAAAAAAAAUUCUAUUUCCAGAGUAUCGCCGCGCGGCUAUACCGUUGAAAUAUUAUAUUUAUAGAGUAUAACCGCGCGGCUAUACUCGUUUCACCAAAACACAAUCUAGGCUAGGCGGGUCUUGUGUAUAGCCGCGCGGCUAUACCCCGAAUUUUUUUAUAAUAAAAAUAGUAUAGCCCGAGUGGCUGGACUGUGGUCCUUUUUUUAAAAUUCUUUUUUUAUACAUUGUAUAGCCGCGCUCGGCUAUACUCUUUACAUAGAUACUGUGAUAUUUUUAUUUUUUUUAAUAAUUAUUUUUCCCAAAAUUUUGUUUAUCGAUAAGAGUAGUUUAGACUCGUGACCAUUAUUUUGCAUUUCUUUUAAAUCAUUAUAUAUAUAAGAUAUGGCUUUAUAUGAUAAAAAAAAAUAGAUGCGAAAAAUAAAAUUGCGCAAUGAUUGGUUGCUUAAUAGUACCUCAUCAAAGGAUAUAACAAAUUAAAAUGACAUGAUGCAAAACCUUCAAAUGGGCUCACGACGAUUUUUUAUUAUUAUUAUUAUUAUUAUUAUUAUUUUGCUACAUCCAAUAUUCUCUUUUGGUGAUCAACUUAUAGGCAGCCUAAGCCUAAAUUAUUUAGGGUCACAAACUUUAUGACAUUCUUGUUGAGUUGGCCAGCAUUGCUGGUUAAUGGCGCAACACCAGCAUUGUUGUCGCUGAUGAGUUACUGCACAUUGUUCUGAGCAAAACGUCAGUUUGCUCCCCCAUACUUUCACAACAUCACCUCUCACCCUUAUACUCUCAACCACAUUGCUUUGCUUGCUGCUAGUCUCCCCAAUGCUGCUUUCAUUGCCUGUUUAUAAACAAUGUCACAUGGAAAAAUUAAUUAAUACAUAAAUUAAUAAAUAAAUCUUGAUUUGAGAUGUUAAUUAAUCUUGGUUUGACAAGCAUGAAGGGGAGAUAAAUCAUGUGCUUACAUUCAGAAAGAGCCAAGAGGGCUAUGAAGACCAUGCAAAACAGAACCAACUGCACCUUGAUUGCCAUCGAUGAUUUGUUUGAGAGAGUGAUCAAGAUGCAAACUUUGUGGUGAUAUGAGGUCAAAAUAUUGUUGGGUUUUUAUAAUAAGAUGAUUUAAGCCUCAAUUUAUUAGUGAGGAUCCAUGGUGAUAGCAUAGAAUCCAACAACACUAGAAAAGUAGUGAGCUAAUUGGAACUACUUUAAAGUUCUUAAGUCUAAUUACCUUUUAUAGUCAAUCAAAUUUAAGGUCCUUGUUUCUGUUACUUUUGGUUAGGUGAAGAGUUGUGCAUGCAUCUAGUGCAAAUCCAAUCCCCUCCACUUGUAAUGGUUUUACCUUUUUUUUACAGUUGAAUGCAAUAUUAGAUGUGGAUUACAUGGUUACAAAUCCAAUCAAAUCUGAUUCAAUCUAUGAUUCAGUGUGUUUUUACCAAAUCUUUCACAUUUCAUUCAUACAUAAUUCCCUUAUGGCAUGUUCACUUAUUUGUAACGAGAGAAGUCAUGAAUGAGAGAAAUCCAUAAUAAUGAAGAUAAUUAUCGAAUAUGAGAUCAACUAUACUCUCCUAAUCAAACCAAUUCCUAUAGAAAAUUCUAAUAGUAAUGGCUUUUUUAUUAUUAGAAAAUUAAUACUGUUGACACCAGAAAAAAUAAAAUAAAAUCUGUGGUGCAGCGCAGAGUAAAAUCUGUGGUUGGUGAUCAUGAUUUUUUUAGUAAAAUUAAAGAAAAAUGUUCGUGUGAUAAGAGCAUGAACAUUCAUUGAGCAAGAGCCAAGAGGCUUAUGAACACAAUGCAAAAGAGAGCCCCUUGCACUCUGAUUGAUUUACCAGCCUCCCUUGACAUACACAACUUCUUAAAUCGUAGGGCAGUUUCAGAAGAACUCAGAUUUCAGUUACUAUUGAACAAUCUGCAAUCGACAGAUGUCAGUUUUUAAUUCUUUUUUAUUUUCUAGCAAACGGGCAUCCAUGGUUAUAUAAAUACAGUAUAGAGCACUUCGGUACGGCUACAAAUAUUUUUAGUUUAACUCCAUGCAUUAUGCAUAUUGCUUUACAUAUGGGACAUUUUGUUAGGCAUGUUAUCUUACACGCAACAUAACACACAAAAUGUGCUCGAAAUGUUCUUAAAUACAAUAAAACACAAAUUAUUAUGAUCAAUUCCUGAUUUUAUGUGGGUUUCUUUUACUUUUUAAUUCAUUAAUGUGAAGUAAAUGCAAGAAUCCUCCAAAUUGGAAUUCAAUUCCUGAUUAGUAAACACACUAUAAAUGCAAUAAAACACAAAUUGCGUAGUUUUCUUAGUGCCGCAAACUUAUCAUAAUCCUAAUUCAUUUGUCUCACCCUCCCUCACCACUUGGACUCAAGGCGGAGACACAUGGUAUCUUCCGGAGGUGUGCUAGAAGCGUAUAUACUUUAGUACGGAGUGUUGAGGGAGAACAUUAUAUUUCCCAAAGUUUUUCAUGAAUUGUAGAAAAUGUUCUUAAAAUUACCAUCCAAAUUGCUUGACCUAACCUAAGGGCUCAAUUGGCUCCUUAACACAGAUAAAGUAAAGCAGAAUGAUCAAAGAUUCAUACAAAAAGCCUUCAAAUGGGCUGCUGAAAGUUUAUUAUUGUUUUAUUUUGUGCCAAAACUGCGCACCAGUACAAGUCUCUGAAAUUAAGUUGAUAACGAAGAGCAGCUGCCUGAGCUAAGGUAGCUAGGGGUGGCAACCUUGGUCACAUGCUUCAUGAGUCUUCCAGCACGUGUCACGGUGGAAGGCGCAACACCACCAAUCCGACCCUGGUGGUCCGCUCUUACCGGCUUGAAUGCAAAAUGUUAGUUUGCGUCCCCUUAUAUCAUUGCUCGCCAUUAUAUUCUCAACACCAUUGCUUUCCUUGCCUGUUUAAUUAUCAUAUGUUGUCACAUGGAAAAAGAAAAAGAAAAUAAAUAUAAAUAAAAUCUGUAAAAUAUAAGUAGUAAACUUGGUUAGGUGUUGAUCAAUCUUUGAUUUGACAAGCAUGGAGAUGAUAGAUGCUUACAUUCAGUAAGAGCCAAGAGGGCUACGAAGACGAUGCAGAACAGAACCAGCUGCACUUUGAUUGCCAUUUGAUGUUUUGUUUGAGAGAGAGCGAUUUGAUGCAAACUUUGUUGUUGUGGUGAUAUGAUGUCGAAACAUUGUUGGGUUUCAUAACAAGAAAAUUUAUUAGCGAACACUCAUGGUGAAAUAUUAGAAUCCAACAAUACUAAAACGGUUGUGAUUGUCUUAGUUCAUCAGUUUCUUUUGGGUUACGGUCAAUCUGAUGCAAAUCCAAUAUACUUGUCGUCGUUUUACCAUUUGUAAUUGAAUGUCUUUAUUUACUGAACAUUCCCCAUACAAUUAAGCCCCGUUUGGUAAGUUGGAUUAUGUAGUUGGAUAAGAUUCAUCAUCUUAGUCAAAUAUUUGGUGCCCUAAAAACAACAUGGAUUGGAUUAUUUCUAAUCUUACUAAAGUCAAAUAUAGUAAGAUUAUGAAUCCUACCAAAAUGUUGCGAUUAAGUUGGAUUGGAGUAUGUCUAAUCCUACUAAGCCAUGUAAAAUAGCACAUUCCAAUUAAUCCAACUCCAUAAUCAUGUGUAGUACCAAACACAUCAUUGGACUAGUGCUAUCAUUUCUAAUCCAAUGUAAUCCAAUGCAAUCCAAUUCUACCUCAUAUUCCAAUCCAAUUCUAGUCACCAAACAUAGCAUUGGAUUAAAUUUGCAAGAACUAACUAACAUUUAGUAUAGUGGUAUUUGUCUCUUCUUGGUUGGAGGAGGUCUCAGGUUCAACUCACAUGAAUGACGAGGACGAUAUAUAUUUAUGAGUUUGAUACUUAAAUAUAAAUAGCCUUAUUGUUAUGACAUAACUUUGUAGUGUAUUGGCCUGUUGUAAAGAUUAAUUUAUGAUACUUGGAUUAGAGUCGCAGUGUGCAGUAGUCACGCCUAAGAAUUUUUCUGAACUCAAAACAAGCCGUUGUUCGCACGCACUUUGUGUUGUCAAAUUGCAAAAAAUUAACAAGCCUGAUGGCUCCCAAAAUACUUUUUAAAAGUGGCUCAAACCAGUUUAUUAUUUAUUGAUUUAUUGUACCACAUUCAAAAAUUAAGCAAAAUUCAGCCGAGGCACAAAUCUCUUUGUUGAAGAUCCAAUUAUAGAGCCUAAGCUAGAGAAGGUAUAGCUAGGCUCAGGGUGGCAACCUGCGUUACAUUCUUAUCGAGUUGGCCAGCAAUCCUGGUGGAAGGCGCAGCACCAGCAUUCUAGACCUGUAGCUUUCUUACAUUUUUCUGAGCAAAAUGUUAGUUUGCGGCGCCUGUUGCUCUCAAUAUCAACAGUCUUGUGGUGAUAUGAGGUCAAAACAUUGUUGGGUUUUUAUAACAACAAAAUUGGAAAGAUCUUAAUUGUAAACAAAAUCACCUUUUAUUUGUAACCGGAUUAAUUGUAUAUAUAUAUUUGUUUUGGUAAGUGAUCAGUUUGUUUCAAUUCAAAUCUGAAAUUUCCUUUUAUUGAAAAUCAAAUCCGAAGGUCCCAGUUUCAGUUUGGUUUUGGGUUUUACCAAUGUCAUGGAAUCUGCCAUCCAAUUCUGUUGCAAUCGGUCUUAUCAUUUUUCUGCAGGUUGUGUGACGAUUCCCCCUCCCUCAAUAUCACUUGUACCAACAGGCAGAUAAAGUUCUGGUCAUAAUUCAUUCGAGGAAGGUGUACAUUAUUAAUGAUUUCUAACCAAAAUAUCAAAGUUACAAUACAAGGACUCUCUCCCUUGAUAGGACUUUACAAUUGCAGUACAAAUUUAACCUGUAGAGAAAUCUAUGAGCUUGGAGGAGUUGGCCAAUAAUGCACUGGAGGCAUCUGUUCAGGAACGGCAAUCGCUAUCAUUUGCGAUAUUAACCUGCAGGUUGAAAUUUUUCAAGAUUCAGUCUCACAUGAAAUGCAAUGGCAACAUUUUCAGAAAGAUUAUACAACAAAUAUAUGUACUUGGAACUCAGCAGGGUGAAUAACUCAAUAUUAAGCAAUCUCUUCAAAGACACGUUAAGUUACUCAGCUGGAUAGUUAUUACCUUUAUAUGUAAAUCCCUUAAGAACCAGGUGGGUUCUUCUCCAAAAGAAGUUAGCAACUAUCCAUGACUUCUUGGAUCAGCAACUUGGUGAACCUUUCUGGCUUCAGCACUUGAAAACUGCCCCACUACACGAGCGUGAGGUAUGGAGGCUUCUCCACGGGCGAGGGCAUCCACAUUCUCAAGCAGGUACUUCUCUGGAAGCCUACCUACUACGUUACCCUCUUCAUUGCCCUUUUUAUCUAGGAAUGCGAAGUGUGGAAUACCCUCAACACCAAACUCAUCAAGCUCCUGUUCCCACUUUGUGUUGUCAACAUUCAGCAUAACAAAAUUUACACGACCCCUGAAUAAAAAGAGUGGUAAAUAUGAAAGAUGAUAACAGAUCUAUGGUAAAAGAAGAAACUGUGCAUGAGGUAAACAUUUCAGGAAUGCGUGAGCUUUGAGAAUCGAAGACUGUGAAGCUCUUACAUAUUUAGGGAAUCUUAAGGGUUUCAAACAUAAAUACCCACGAAGGAACAUUCACUAUUUUCAAGCUUGUAGUAGAGAUGCAAUUUUAAUCAAGAACAAGUUAGAACUUGAAGAUCAUACUUAUACUGCUGCUCAACUUUAUAGACAUCUGGAGCUAAUUCCUUGCAUACUUCACACCAAUCGGCAUAGAACUCAACAACAGUAGGCUUCCCAUUUGACAGGGCCUAAUCAGCAUAAAUACAGAAGAUCAUUAGCAAAAACAGCAAUGAUAUCACAUUGAAGAUUAUGUAAAGAUUCAUUCACAUGCAUGUACAUUAUGGAAACACAAAUAGCUGAUUGAAUACACGGGGAAAUAACAAAUCAAGAAAAAGCUUGCGUACAUAAUUUGAGAACUUAGAAAAUAUAAGUAACAAAAGAUAUGCCUUGCUUUUCUAAGAAAGGCAUGAGGGAACCUGUUUGUACUAAUUAGUGCACUGUCUAAGUUAGAGCACACAAAUCCGCUAAAGUUUAAAUUCCAUUAUGAAAUAAGGUUUGAGCCUCAUCAUUGAAAUAGUUCAUUUGUACUGAAAUAUCUAAGGUAUUGCUUGAGGUUAUAGAAACCUUUUUCUAGGUUCUCAACCAUGCUCAUCACAACCGCCUACCGACCCAUCUACAUAACCUGUUACACAAGACAAAGUAAAAAGAGCAUAGCUAAUUGAACAAACCUCUUCAUAAGGUAAGGCAGCAACAGAUAAAUCCUUCAAAGAAACACCAAAAUCUAGUCGUCCUGAUAAGAAAAGUGCUAGUGCUGCAAGAGUAGAAACCAAUGCUACUUGCUUGUUGGUAUUUUUGUUCGGAAACUCUGGAGGGCCAGAGUCUCUUGAGGAACUCGUAGCUUGGCUACUGCUAUCAUUGCCUGAGCCUGGCUCAACAAUCGAUUUCUCCUGAAUCAGAAUAGUUGAUGAAGAUAACACUAGUCAUACGAUAAAAUAAAAUUGAAAGACUUCUCAAACAAGAAAUUUAACCAACACUGGCUCAGAUAUAUAACAAUCUACGAAAACAAGGACAAGCACCAUAAUUCAGGAGAAAUUAAGUUUUUUUUUCGUAUAUAAAGAAACACUUUUUCAGACUAUGAACUAAUGGGCAUGCAUACUUUGCCAGAUGAUCAACUUUGCAGUUUCCUUCACUUAUGCAACAAAAUUAUGACAUUUUGCUAAACUUAAAGCUCAAAACUUUGGAUGCCCAUAUAGCAAAAAUGGAGGCACUAAACUAUUUUCAAUGGCCCAACUCAUAAAUUUCAAUUCUAUCAGCAUACCAAUGGAAAGUCUACAUAUAAUCAUAAACUCCACCUUUUAUCAAUCAAAAACAAAAACUUUGACCUUAACACUUGAAACCCAGUAAAAAUAAUUUGGCAAAUAUGCAGAAUAUUGAAAAGGGAACACUUGUAGCCCUCCAACUAGUGCUUUUAAGCUUCUUCAGAAUAGUUUAGAUGCAAAAUUUAAGCGUACCGUUGUGGAGGUCUCGGUUGGAUCUGGGGUUUGUUGGCAAGAAACGGUUGGAAAUCUGCGGUGCUCGUUUCGGAAGUGAAGAGAGGUUCUAGCAUGUUGGGGAAGCUGAGCAACCUGGAAACAUGGCCGGAAUCUAUGGAGACCAACUGGGUUUGAAGCCACGCGAGCCAUUGCAGAUAACUGGUGACACUUUGGGUUAAAUUAAUUAAUCACUAUGCCGUACAAUGGCUUCCUUUAUGGAUGAGCGAGCGAGCGAGCGAGACUAGAGUAUUUUCACGUUUUAACUAUAUUUAACGACUUUUUUUUAUUUUUCUAUAAUAACGACUUUCUGAUUUUAUAGAUUUUUUUAAAAAUAAAAUAAAGGCUUAUGGUGCUCGUCAUCUUUCGUGGCACAUUGAACUGCCGUACAAAUCGCAGGCAGGCCGGUCACGGAAGCUCAAUCUUUUUUUUCUUUUUUCUUUUUUUCUUUUUUUGUUGUUGCUAUUUUGGUAUGAACGCCAACCUGAAUUUAUUCUCAAAAAAUUUCACGUAUAUAAUUAAAAACUUGAUGAUAUAAAUUAAACUGGAUUUAAAUUUUACAGAGCCACGCAACUAAUCAGCACUAUAAAUUAAGGUUACAACAAGCUCACGAUUUCUAACUAACUCUCUGGCCCCAAAAUCCCAUUCACGACCGAAGUCGCCACCAAAAUCCCCACAACCUCCGCUCCCGCCACCGCUCCAGCCUGCGCUAGCCCGCCAAAGCUCACCACAGCCUCCACCCCUUUCUCCGCCGUUUCGAUCCCUCGCUCUGCUGUUUCCAGCCCCUUCUCCGCCGUUUCGAGUCCCUUCUCCGCCGUUUCGAUGCCUUUCUCCGCCGCCUCGAACCCUUCCUUCACUAUCACCUCCGCCCCCCUCUCCGCCUCCUUCAGCUUCCUCUUCAGCCCAAACAGCCCGAUGUCUUCCGCCUUCGCCUCCACCGCCACAGCCGCCAGCGCCGCGGUCCACGUCAGCGACAGCGCCAGCUGUCUCCGCCCGGGUAAUGCGAGUCCACGUGGCGGCGCAGGUUUGGAGGCCGCCGUGGGGGAGUUGCGGGGCGCAUUGCGCACUGGGUGGAGAGCUAGAACUGAGGCUCUCGCAGUAGCCAUGUCUUUUCUUUCUGUGAAAUUUGUGAAGUCUGAUACCACACGCUAACCAAAUCUUCGAGCCACUUUUCCUGUAUUUUAUUUAUAAAAUAAAUUUUCUAAAUGACGAAUAUGCCCUGGACAGCAAAACGCACCGUGUCGCAAUCUAUAUAGACGAGCAAACGGUGCUCGUUCCAUUUUCAUUUUCCCUCUAUAAAAUUGGGGGUUUCUAAGCGUGCUCUGUACAUUUUUGCGCCAGAACGAAGGUUUUUGAUUUUGAAACCAUGGUUGAAGAAGCGUCGGCAUCGGUGGGCGAAACCCUACCCCAAAACGCGCUGGAGACUCAGAGGUCCAACGAGGCCACCAUCACAGAGGGAGCUCAGGGAGGCGCCGAGUCUACUUGCAACAACGACAACGCGGAAGCUUCAGCUGUCACUUCCGAUGGAGAUCGCGAGAAGUCGCUGGAGUUUGCCGACGAGUUGAUGGAGAAGGGUUCCAAGGCCAUCAAAGACUCUGAUUUCGGCGAGGCCACCGAGUGCUUCAGCCGUUCCUUGGAAAUCAGGUUAGGGUUUUUGAUUUCCAUGCUUUUUCUUGCUUGCCUGAUUUCACAUUCUUUUUGUUUGCUUUGAAAUUGAGCCCUUUUGGAAGUUAUUUGUUUGUAGGGCGUCUAUGAUGCUGCAAUAUUGUUACCUUUGUUUGCUUUCCCAAACAUUUACCCUAACUGUAGGUCGUUAAUUGAUUUCUUGUGCUUCCGUUGCCUUGAUUUGCAUAGUCUUUUGCAUUUUCAGAAAUUGGUAUUGUGCCCGUGAGCCCCACUAAGCGUACAAUUUAGUUUCCAAAUCAUGCAUUCGUAGAGUACCAAUUUCUUUAUCUUUCAUAUCUUGUUGCAUUUGCUUGGUGAUACUAAUGUGUCUCGGGUUUUCAUUGGGCUCAAGUGGUGAGGGAGGGUAGCGAAAUGCGUUAGGACUUGGAUAGGUUCGAUCCCUCCAAUGAAACCUGAAAAAAAAACAUGUUUCUAAGCUUUUUCAUUAAAUGUUUGCCAUCAUUUCUACUCUCAUUUAAACUCAGUUGCUUAUUAGCAGAUGAGGAAUAUUCUAAACUAUUAUAUUUGUGUCAACAAAACCAGGGUUGCGCAUUAUGGCGAACUUGCUCCUCAGUGUGUCAAUGCAUACUAUAAGUAUGGAUGUGCAUUGCUCUACAAAGCUCAAGAGGAGACUGAUCCCUUGGGUGCUGUACCCAAGAAGGAGGGUGAAUCUCACCAAGGAUCUGCUAAGGUUGGUUCUGUUAAGAAUGUUUUAAAUGGUGAAUCUUCUACAGCUUCUGCUUCAAGUGAUGCUGAACAGGAUGAAAGUUUGAAUCAUGAGGAAGGAGCAGCUGAUGAGGGUGGUAUGUCACUUGUGAUGCUUAUUGAUUAUAAUCAUCUAAUACAGUACUUUCAUCUGUUGGCAAACAAUCAUGAACAAAGCUCAUGCUUUUUGCAUAAAUGUUGCACAUUUUCGAAUAUGAUAUCUUUAUUACAUAUAAUGCAAUGAUAUUUUAAUCAUGUUUCUGUGAUGACAUCAUAGUUGCUUACAUAGUCUGCUUUACUAUCAUUAUGCCACCUCAAAUCCUUUGGAAUAAUCAAAUGAAUCAUGAUUUCUGUUACGGAACAUAUCAUGGGUACAUUACCAUCAUGAGUAUUACAUCCUAUUUAAAUUUCAAGAUGAAAAUCUGAAAAGAACACUGUUCUGCAAAUAUAUCAACCGGGGAAAAAAAUCAACUUUAUCCAUUUGUGUGUGCAUGUUCUCUCGUAGUCUGGUUUAGAUCUUUGUGGAAUUGAAGUAUCAUAUAAUCGAUGUUUUAGUAUUUUAUUUGGUCUGCAUUUAGAAACUCAUUUGACAGUCUGUUCUUGGCAAGAUACUGAGAAAUACUCUGUCAUGCACAGACAUACACAAGUUUAAUAAAGCACCAUUACCUGCAAAAAUAUGGUGCAGCCUGAAAAGCAUAUAAGUGAUAUAAAUUUAGGUAUACAAUAUUGUGUAAGAUGAUGUUUUCUGUCCCAAAACUGAUGGGUUGAGAAUUAUUUGAUUCAAAUUACCAAUGUAACUAUAAGUUUACAGUGUUUAUCCUUAUUAUAUCGACUGUAUCAUAAAACAGUUGUUCAUUUCCUUUUCUGAGGCAGCUUCUGGUGAAAAAGACCAGGAAGAAGAACAUGAUGAUAGUGAUGUUGAAGACCUGGCUGAAGCAGAUGAAGAUGAGACUGACCUUGAUUUGGCAUGGAAAAUGCUAGAUGUUGCAAGAGCAAUUGUUGAAAAACACUCGGGUGACACAAUGGAGAAGGUGGACAUAUUAUCAGCUUUGGCAGAAGUUGCAUUGGAAAGAGGUUUGUUAUGUACUCAAUUUAGUUGAAUUGAGAUCUGUAUAUCUUUCCUUAGGCGAAAGAGGUUUUCUUGUACUUCCACACUACACUUUUGGUGCAUUUGUUUCGCAAGCAUCUUAUUUGGCUUUGUUGGUGCUCCUUGUAGAGGACAUUGAAACUUCUCUCAGUGACUACCAGAAAGCACUUUCCAUUUUGGAGCGGUUGGUUGAGCCAGAUAGUCGACGUAUAGCUGAACUGUAUCCUAUUCAAGUUUGACAUAUUUGAAAUGCUCUGUUGGCUUUGCCAAAAUCUCUUAAAAAGAUUUUGUUCUAUGUAUUUACUUGGUCAGUUGGAACCUUGGUUUCAAAAAUUAAGUUAUAAGUUCUUUUCCAUAGUUUUUAUUUUAUUACAUUUUGGUUUCCCCCAUUCCACUGGACCAGGGACUCGUGACCUUAACUGGAGAAUUCAGAAACUUUCGAAUAUGUUUGUGUUUGGAGAUUGGUUCCAAGCCUGAGGAAGCCAUUCUGUAUUGCCAGAAGGCUAUAUCAAUCUGCAAGUCUCGUGUGCGGAGACUCAUGCUCGAAUCAAGGAGUUUCUCGGAAUCUACGACCUCGUCGGCUGCUUCUGUAUUGGAGCAGGGUGUCACGCUCUCCUCAACUGUGACAGAGUCUGAUAGUACUGUGACAGAUAAGCAGGCAGAGAUUGAAACACUAACUGGACUCUCUGGAGAUCUGGAAAAGAAGGUAUUUAUUAAUUUUCCAGCCCUUUUUUUCCAGUUUCAGACAUGUUUUUCUGAUUUUUGUAUUCUUGAGUUGUAGCUUGAAGAUCUGCAACAACUGGCCUCAAACCCAAAAUCCAUUCUCGCUGAAAUUCUGGGAUUGGCGUCUGCCAAGGCAAAAGGCACUGAGAAGAGUGAAUCUUCAGCAGGGCAGAGCUCUUCACGGAUGGGAGCUGCUGACAACAUUGGAGGCUUCGACUCCCCAACUGUUUCUACUGCUCAUACGAAUGGAACUUCUGGUGUCACACAUCUCGGUGUGGUAGGAAGAGGAGUAAAGCGAGUAUUGAUGCACUCAGGCACUGCGGAAUCAAGCUCAGCGAAGAAACCUGCUUUGGAUUCAUCUGAAGAUAAGGGAGAGGGCAACACAUGAUGAAGGUUAUGGAUUCCGGUAAUUGUAUGAAUAGGAUUGAGAAAUCUUCGUGGAUUAUAGUAUUGUAUGCAGUGAUUCCUAGUUCAAACUAGUAGGCUAGUAGAGUUUUUGUAUGGUGACAAAUCUUACUAUCUAGAAAUUGAGAUGAACUCGUCACUGGCAAUGUGUUUAGUUGGAUAUUUUCCAUGCUAUCAAGUCAUGCUAGUUUUGUGUCCAUGAAAUGGUCUGUACAAAUUGAAAGGUAGCAUAACUCAUACUAAUCAUAGUUCUACAAGCACUCCAGAAAGGUCAUCAUAUGCUCUUCCCUUGCGAGGUGCAAGAUGAUUAUUUUGGAGUGUCAAUAGGAGGGAACUCAUUGCACAUGGGGUGGCACCAUAGUGGAAAAGUGAGCCAAACAAGCCAGUAUUGUAAUAUAGGCAUUAUCAGAUUGGCCAACAAUGAUCUGUCUUUUGUAUUCUUUCUCUAAUCUACUUUAAUUUUAAAUGUUUAUAAAAGAAAAUAUAAAUUAAUAUAUAGAAUAAUCUUCCAAUGUUUGCAGAAGAAAAUAAAAAAAUCCAUAAAGACUCAUGAUGUGAUGACUAGAUGGCCUUUUAAGAAUGGAAUUGCUCAAAUUUGGUCAUAUUAUUCGAUUCGAUUUGUUAUACUUUCAAUCCAUCACCACCACAAGUUAGAAUAACGAUCUUAAAAGAAAACUUUUUAGUUGUUGUUAUAAUUUGAUUUCAAAAUUUGCAACUCAAAGUGAUCCCACAAGACAGCGAGCCAGUAAGAAAGCAUUAAUUUACAGCCAAAACCGUUGAAACCUGAUUUAUUAAUUUAUGAUGAUGAACGUGUGAAAUUGGCUUGGUUGGUGGGUCCAUUUCACAUUUGGCUUGGGUUGGGAUGUUCAAAUUGGUCCUCUAAUAUUAUUUGUGUCUUGACAUCUAAUCAUCCGGAAAGGGCACAUGUAUAUUUUACUGCACAGUAAAUUAAAUUUAAGCUAAUUGGCUACAAUAUCAAGAGAACAUGUGGUGAUUGAAACCGAACAAAGUGAUGAUGGAACAAGAGCGAUUGAUGUUUACUGGACCUGUCAAGUGAUGAAGAAUCCUAAUUAUUUCUGAUAACGAUGUGUUUGUGUGUUUUGUUUUCACUGGUUUAACAUUAAUCACCAUUGAAGCCCAUCUUUCAUCAGCUUGGGGUGGUUUUCUUCUUAGUGAAACAAACCAAACAGAAAAUAAAGUUCUGACCUAAUUACGUUAAGUGGGUUUUUAUGACAUCACUGAUUACAACAAUAUAGAAUUGGAAUUAAGCUUCAACAAUCCAGCCCAAGAGGAAGAUAAACUUACCUGCAUCUGCAUCGAGGAUGUCAUUAUAGUGGUAGUUCAAACCAAUUCAGCACUGUCAUUUGUUUUUAAUUUUCUCACAUAAUAACCCGUUGAAUGAAAGUUUUCUCAUAUGCCAAUCAUGAAAGCAUCUUGACUAGGCUACAUUGUAAAAUUCCAGAACAUGUGUCGAAAUUUCUCACAAUGAAUUGGUUGUUGACAAUUUAAAAAUGUGUUAUUUUUUUAUUAAAAAAUAAUAGAAAGUAGGAGAAUUACUAUGCAGAAAGCGAAUGAGCGAUAGCUUCAACACUAAUUUUGAGUGGCAUUUGAGACAAAACAAGUCGAUGAUAUCAGAGCGACAUUGAUUGUAUUAAUACCUUGAAAUUGGAUAAGGAGAAAGCCAAGCCAAAGCCGAAGCCAGGAGAAAAACCAACCUAUCCACACAAAAAGCUUCAGCUUUAAGGUUGAGUUGAAAUCAAGAGUUCUCCCAAAACGAUGUGUUUCAGAGUGGAUUGCAAGCAAUGUGGGAAGUACUCCUGGGGAGGAUGUGGUAAGCACUUGGCCACCCUGUACGCCAGCAUAGAUGAGGGGAAGCAUUGCAUGUGCCGGUCAUGGCCUGGUGUGGCCAUCCCCAAGCAGGGGACACCUACUCCCCAACAAUCUGUGGCCUCAGCCUCAGGUAUUUUAUUAUACUAGAUCAUUUUUCUUUAUUUUUUUCAACUCAAAACUUGCCAAAUUAGUACUAUAGGUAUGUUGAGUAUAAUAUUUGGUAUGUUUGUGUAGCUAACCCUAAUGUGAUGCAUGUGUAUGGCAUGUAUGUUUUAGGGUUUAUUAAUGAAAUAGGUUCACGUUUUCUUGUUAUACAAUUUGACAUGUUUUUGUGAAUUUGAAUUCAACAACAAUCAAUCUGACAGUUUGACAAUACAACAUCAAUGUUAUCCUUUAAAAAUGAAUCACAGAGUUAAUAGUCUUCAAUAUUCUCAACGAGUAUGAAUGUAUGGGGUCAAAUGUUCGACAAAAUGCCUCAAAGAGUUUAAGUCUGAGGCGGAGGUAGGGUAGCGAGACAAGGGCAAAUAGGAAAAGUGGCGUGCGACAUGAAGAAAAGAGAAUUCUAAAUCUGUCUCUUUUUGUGUUGAGUGGCUUAAAUUAAUAACCUUUUUAUGCCUGAUGUAGGUCAUAAGCCCAUUGAUUGAUCCUUGAUGUUGCUCUGUGCAGGAAAGUAGCAACUCUGAGAUGUGUCCAGUGCUGGCCAGCAGUAGCCGCCUUAUUAGAUUGAGAGUGGUGCCAGCAUAAACAAUGGACAGAUGGGGAUAAUUUGAAUAACGGCAGCUCAAAGCCACAAGAUGAAUACCAUCGUAUCCAUUUUAAGGGGUUUGUUUGUUUAAUUAGAUGUCGUCUGUCUAAGUUUAAUAAUAAUAAUGUUAGUGCUGGUGUGUUUAUGGUCAAGACACAUUUGACCAAUUCAAACCUGCCUUUUUCUAGUGUAAGGAUUGAAUAAUACUAAUAAAGUGGGGUUGCACCAAUCUUCACAAAAUCAAACCUUGUGACCCACAGUCUUUUGUAGCCAACUCAAUGUUCUUUAUUUUUCUUCCUUUUUGUUGAAAAUUUUGGAUCUUUAUAGCUUGGCAUCUUAUUGUCUUUCCUAUGAAGAUGGCUGAGUGGGUGUGUGCCCAAAUGAGCCACACUAUCCUUAUUUUGUGCAUUUUGUCAAAUGAUUAGUCACCAAACCACCAUUCUUUCACUUGAAAUCAUUCAAAGGCAAGAAAUUACUAUUAAGUCACAAGAUUUCAGUCAGGAGCAAGUGGGGUGAGGAGUUAGUUUGUCUUCCCAUCCCAGUACCUCACCUCAAUGACUGACAUUAUCAUCACCAUCUCCAUCCCUUCUAACAAUAGUUAAAUGUAAGAUUAAACACCCCGACUUCUUACAAAUUUUAGAGUACUCGUGGAAUUUGCCUAGUUCGUGUCGUGCGAUGUUUGGUCAAGUCCUAUAACGAGCGAAACCCUCGUUUUGGGUUGUUUUUAUGCUUUAAUUAUUGGAUGUCAAUUAAAAACAAAAAGUUUAGUAAUUUCAUAAUAAUCCAUUUUGCUCAGACAGACCAUUUUGAAAUUUGAACACCUCUCAGUUUCCCACUAUUUCCAUGAAAAAUAAUCAAUGCACUCUGUUUUUCUUUGAGGUGUCAUUAAUGUUGGCAUAAAUGCAAAGCACACAUAGUGGUUCAAGAGUAGAUAAGCUGCUAUAAAUGCAUGAGAGUUCCCUUCUUUUUUUGCUUUCAAACCUAAAAAUUCAUAAGUAUGUGAAAACAAGUUGGUAUCAUUAUUAAAAAAAACUAUAGGAAAUUCAGGCCAUACUACUAGAGGGAUAACAUGAUAAUACGUUAUGAUUUAGCGAUAAAUGAAAUUUGAAAUGCACUAAUUUUCAUGAUAUAAACAAAUGAAACACUACUCUAAAAAAACAGGCAAAUGCUACUAUGUUGUAAGAUGUUUGUACCUCAAAGUAGUUAAAAGUAUUAACAUCUGUAUUCAAUGUCCUAAGUUCGAUUUCCUCUUUCCUAAUACCGCUUAUAUCAGAAAAGACUACCAUAUUAGUUGGGGUCUAAAAUUGUAGGGUUUGUGUUUGUAGGCUUUAUCACACAUUUGGAGGAUGUAAAAUAAUAUUCUGGUUUUCACUAGCAAACCAAACACUACAGUCCCUGCAGUACAUUCUGUCACAAGCUCCAAGUAUGAAUUAAAGACAUCCAUAUAUACCAGAUGGGGGCCGGCCAAAUUGCAAGGGCGACUAUAAUGUGUGUUAAACUCACAUGUGGGCAGUUGAGAAUUUGUGAUUUGGCCCCACUAAAAGUUAGAAACUCAUAAUUACCCUAAAAAUCAACUUUGAUUAAGAUUUUUUGGGCAUUCUAACCCUAAAAAUCAACUUUGAAAGUAAAGGGUGUGUAUAAUUGCAGGACCAAGGAAAUGAAUUAUGUAUAAUAUGGGGCAUGCUACAUUGGAUUAUCAUUAUUAAAGUGAGCCCCCAAAACCCCAGAUUACGAAAUGAUCAAAAAUUCAAUUAAAAUACUCCACCAUUUGCGCCAAAAAGCAAUAAGACCCAGUUACAGUUGGCAUGCAAUGCAAUUUCUAGCUAAUUUUCUAAUGGGUGAUGGUGCUCUUUUUUUAAUGUCAAAAUAAAAAGGGAGUUUGCCUCAAAGACGACAUACCUUUUCCUGGAAUUGGAGGUGAGAGAGAGAGAGAGAGAGAGAGAGAGAGUGGGUGAGAGAGAUCAGAGACUCAGCUGGGAGUGAGAUUCUUCUUCUGAUGUGAUUCAUUCAUUCAAAAUAAAUAAAUAAAUAAAACGAUGGCAUUGGUUUGGAUCCCCUUUUUCGAAAUUUGUUCAAGCUGAGCUCUAUUUGUCCUCUCUGGGUGUAUUUGGAUUCCUUCUCUCCUUUCUCUUUCAGCACUCUUUCUUUCUCUUGUUGCUCAAUUGUUCCUUAGAGAAUAUCACAACAACAGCCAAACAAUUUUCAUCCUUUCAUUCCAUCAACCAUCCUUUCUUGCUGAAAGCUUCAAGUGAAGUCAACCCCAUUCCCCCAUUUGUCUCUUCCAGCUUCUUCCAAGUACUAUUUGCUGUUCAUGGAUCUGGGUUUCUGAUUCCCUUAUCAAAACGGUUUCUUUCAUUGAAGAGGUAGAUAGAUACAGAAAUUAACUGAUGGAGAAAAUGGCGGCAGCAGCAGCAGCAGCUGAGAAGCCCAGCUCCAAAGGACAAGCAUGGUUAGUUCCAUUUUUACUGCAAACAAUCUCAUUCAAAACCUCACCUUUUUCAUUUUCUGCUGGGUACCCAAAUCAAAAGCAAUGCAUCAAUUAACCAAAACUCUCUUCAAAAUGUGUUGUUGGCAGGUUCUGCACCACUGGGUUACCAAGCGACAUUGUGGUCGAAGUCGAUGACAUGACCUUCCAUCUCCACAAGGUCAUUACAUCAAACACAUUGAGAGCACACAUUGCAUUUCUCUUCAUCUUUCACUGACCAAUUUCAGCUAACAUUUUUCUGCUUCUGGUUGUUUCAGUUUCCUCUCAUGUCAAAAAGCCGGAAGCUUCACAACCUGAUCACAGAGCAAGAGACGAACCCAUCGCAAACCCGCCAACAAAUUGAAGAGCAGGAUGAGAACGAUGACGAAAUCGAAGAAGUUCAGUGCCAAAUAGCUCUCUCUGACUUCCCCGGCGGCUCAGAGACCUUCGAAAUAGCAGCUAAGUUCUGCUAUGGCGUCAAGAUCGACUUGAGCUCCUCCAAUGUCGCGCCUCUGCGCUGCGCAGGAGAGUAUCUGGAAAUGACCGAAGAGUACUCAGAAGAUAACCUCAUUUCCAAGACCGAGAGGUUUCUCUCUCAGUCUGUGUUGAAGAGCUUCAAGGAAUCGCUCAAAGCUCUCAAGUCCUGCGAACGAGUGAUGCCUCUUGCAGAGACUUUGGGUAUUACGCAGACGUGCAUAGACUCCAUCGCCUCCCGCGCCACGUCAGCCGAUCCCACCCUGUUUGGCUGGCCGGUUAGCGAAGCACCCAAUGCGAAUACAAAUGCGAUUUCUUCUUCUUCUUCCACCAAACAGCAGAUUUUGUGGAAUGGGAUCGACGCCGGUGGCGGCGGUGGACGAAGAAGAGGCCUUUCCAAACACGCAGAUUCCUGGGUUGAAGAUUUGGUGGUUUUGAGCUUGCCUCUGUUCAAGCGAUUGAUUUCCGCCAUGAAAUCUGGAGAUCUAAGCUUGGAGAUGGUGGAGACUUGUUUGAUGCAUUACGCUAAGAAGUACAUUCCUGGAAUUUCAAGAACAAAUCGAAAGCCUCCAUCUUCUAUCUCCGCCGUCACCGCCACCACAACCUCAUCGUCUUUAGCUUCGGAGAGUCAACAGCGAGAGCUUUUGGAGACGAUCAUCUCCAAUCUUCCAUUGGAGAAGAGCUCCAGACCUUCCACCGCUACUCGUUUCCUCUUUGGACUGCUGAGAACCGCCAACAUACUCAAUGCCUCCGAGGCCUGCAAAGCCGCGUUGGAGAAGAAGAUCGCUUCGCAGCUCCACCAAGCCACCUUAGACGACCUUCUCAUCCCGAGCUACUCGUACCUCAACGAGACUCUCUACGACGUCGAUUGCGUCGAGAGGAUCUUAGGUUACUUCUUGAAAGGCUUGGAUCAGAGAAACACAGCCGGAAUCGGAGAAGACGACGGUUCUGACGGUGCUGUCAGAUCGCCGACGUUGAUGCUCGUCGGAAAAUUAAUCGACGAGUUUCUCUCCGAGAUCGCCUCCGACGCGAAUCUCAAGCCGGACCGAUUCUACAAUCUCGCGAUUUCUCUACCUGAACAAGCUCGGCUCUUCGACGACGGUCUUUACAGAGCCGUCGAUCUCUAUCUCAAGGUCCGUACACAAUUUAUACAUUAUAAACGAUUUCAUAAAUUAAGCUUGAGAUGAUUUCAAUUGUGAAAUCUGAAUUGUAUUUUCAUAUCUGUAGGCUCAUCCAUGGAUAACGGAACCAGAGCGCGAGAAGAUCUGCGGAAUUUUAGACUGCCAGAAGCUCACGCUCGAGGCUUGCACGCACGCGGCGCAGAACGAGCGGUUGCCUCUGCGCGCGGUGGUGCAAGUUCUGUUCUUCGAGCAGCUCCAGCUCCGGCACGCCAUCGCCGGAACUCUGCUCGCAACCGACGUCGCUCCCCCGGACUCGGGCAGGCCAUCGGUCCUGCAACGCGAACGACAGGGAGAGGAGGAGGAGGAAGAGGACGACGCGGAGGCACGUGCGGAGGAAGAUGGGGAUAAUGUGGCACGUGCAAAUAAUAGUGGGGGCGGCACGUGGCGGGCGGCAGUGAGGGAGAAUCAGGUGUUGCGCUUGGAUAUGGAUAGCAUGAGGACGCGGGUGCACCAGCUGGAGCGGGAAUGCUCCAACAUGAAAAAGGUGAUCGAGAAGAUUGAUAAUCCGGGUCAGCCCAGGAGGGACGGGUCGGUUUGGAAGGACUCGUUGAGCCGGAGGUUCGGGUGUAAGUUCAAGACCCAAGUGUGUGAUUCGCACGAAGCCACGGCCGUUGAUACUAGGAAAGGACGGCGACACCAUCAUCAAUAAUAGAGCUUCUCGCACCGGAACAUGUUGUUGAUGGCCACGUAAAUAAAUGAAACCGCUGAGUGGGUUGGCGAAUUCGGAACUGAGAAGAACACAAAUUGAGGGACACAUGAUAUGUGAUUAUUGUUUAUUGGGCGAGAAAGCAAAAGCGUUUACAAAUAGUGCAAAUGCAACCUUUUUUCUUCGUUCCUGCUUUUGCUUUUUAGCUUUUUAGCUUUUUUCUGGAAUCAAAGUUAAAAAGCGCUUUGGGUAAGACUUUUGGAAGCUCCAGAUAUAAUGACUGCCUGUGUCUCUCAGCUGGGGGUUUUGGUAAGUUGAUUGAUAUGAUGAUGCAAGGAGUCAAGGACAAAGGGUCCAAAGUGAUUAAAAGUCAAGCUCCAGAAUCUUCAUGAUGAUUGCUUUGCUUAAAAGAUUAUGUGUGGGAUGGUUUCAAUUUAUGUCAAAGAAACAAAAACAUGCACACUAUUUUCUUUGGAAGGAUGGAAAGUUAGAAUGAUUGAUCAUAUAAUCUCAAAGUCUUGGUUUUGUAUCCAAAGAUAUAAAAGUUGUAAUGGGAGUUUCUAUGAUUAUUGGGGUUUCGACUUUAAGAAAAAGCUACAAUCUUUUAACCCUAAUGAAAUCUUGGCAAUACAAUCUCUAGAGUCUAGACCAAGUAGAGAAAGAUGGUGCUUCGGAUUGUACUUGGUUAGCUUUUGCAUGUCACUUUGAAGAAGUUCACUACCUUUGGUAAUAAUCACCGUUUUUGUUAUCUUCUUGAUCUUUGAGGCAGAUCGGUUGGGCUUUGCCUAAGCCUAGGUGAGUUUCUGGUAGGCUUGUUCUAUUGGGCUCCUUCUCGAUGACAGAUCGGUUGGGCUUUGUCCAACCGAGCAAACAUUGGAGCCGGGGGGGUUGGCUUCCACCGCCCAAUUGGUCAGAAGUAAAUCGAAGGUUACCUUUUUGCCGCCCAAACCAUUACUUUCGGAUCAAUCGCAAGUGAAAGCGCAGGAAAGAGGUCCUGAGGUCUGAUUGAAGACAUGUUAGUGCAAAAAGGAAGGGCGGUGAAAAAUGCUCCCUCAAUUGGAAGAGAGAGUCUAUAAAUAGGAUAGAAAUCAACGAAGCAGAGGCCCAACACCAACUCAACCAAUCAAGCCUGAAGGCUGCUCAAUGCACACUUCUUAACUUUUUGUCUUGUAGUUUUGUAGAUUUUAGUGCUUUCCUUAGUAUUCCACGUAGAGAUAUCAACAAGAACUUUGAAAACGUUUUAAGUUCUUGAACACCAUCCAAUAAUGUAGUGGAUAUGUCCAAUCACUUACUUCAAGGUAAUGGCUCAAUUCUCGUAUUCAGCUUCUUGUGAGAGCAACCAUGAGAGGUACUCAGACUCCUGGCUCAAUUGGUCUGGUGGAGCCACCCUUUUUCGUACGAGCAUUUCUAUAGUGGGGUACUUCCUCUUAGGGCCACCCCUUGGCCUUGACUGGAAUUUCUCAUCAGUCUCUUCAAAAUCCCCCUGCAAUUCAAAGCAAUAAUGUCCCACAUAUGAUAUGAACUCAUAAUGUGGCAUUGCCUGGAAAGAUGCUUAUCCCAAAAUCCAACAUAUGAGAGGGUAUUGAAUGAUCUAAGAAUAAUACUCACAAAUGCAUAGACAUGACGCCCGGUCUUCUCAUGCUUGUUUGCGAAUCUCAUGCCACAACCCGAAAAGCUACAGACAAAAGGUUUAUGUUCAAGGUGUACUGCCUUGACAUGUUGAUGGAGAUUUGAUUUCUGAAAACGUAUAAGCAAAAACAGAAAAGGAAACAAUAAAAAAACUAACAAUGGCAAUGCAAAGAAUGAAAAACUAUUUUUUCCUUCUUUCCAAAAUUUGUUCUUUGUGUGUACAUAGUAUACAACCCAUUAAAAGUCAAGUCAGUAACUCACAGUUGAAAACGUGCGAAGACAACCCUUAUAACUGCAUUUAAUUCUCUCCAGUCUCCACUGAAGCACCUCCCCUUCAUGCGUGCGGAGAUGCCAUUUGAUGUUCCUUCUCAGCUUCUUGUUCCCACGUAUCUCAUAGCCGGGCGACUAUACCCGGGUUUCACCAAAUUUUUUAAAACACAGUAUAGCCGGGCGGCUAUACUCGGUUAUCUCUAAUUCUUUUACAAAUAGUACAGCCGCGGCUAUAUUCAUUUUUAAAUUUUUAGAAAAGAAAUGGUAUAGCCGCUCGGCUAUACUCGGCUUUUUAAAUUUCUUAAAAAUGGUAUAGCGCGCGGCUACAAUCGUCUUUUAAUUUUGUUUAGUAUAUACUUUUUUUUCCCAAGAAAAUAUUUUAGCCGUGCGGCUAUACCCAGUUGGUCCCAGUUUUUUAGAAAGAAUUAGUAUAGCCGCGCGGCUAUACCCGGUUUCCUAAUGUUUGAACAAGAAAUAGUAUAGCCGACCGGCUAUACCCCAUUUUUCCAUUUAAAAAAAAAGUAUAGCCGGUCGGCUUUACUCGGAUCUGCUAUUUUAUCUUUUUUAAUAUAAGCACUAAAUCCCCCACAAGAGGGGACUAGUGGUUUCUGUGAUUUAUAAUCUAGUAAUAGGCCAUUACGAAUAUGCAAUAUGAGUAAUAGACAAUCCGAAGCGCGCGCCGUUCGGCUCCUUUCAAGGGGUGCCUCACUCUCUUUCAGGUUAUUCUUGAACAACUAAUGCUAGAGUUACCGUCUAAAUUUUUUUAAACAAAUAGCCACUCGGCUAUACAUGUUUCAAAAUUUUUAAGACAAAUUAGUAUAGCCGCUCGGCUUUGCUCAGUUUUUUCCCCAUACCUAGUAAGUAAAUUUAGGUUUUACCCAUAAAAAAAAUUUCACUUUUGGAAAAAGCCAAAGCUUUUUCAAAAAAGACAGAAAAACAUCUCAACUUUCAAACCAAAGACAUGCAAAUGUAAAGGAUUCUUUAGGAAAUCAAAAAAUAAAUAAGGACAAUUUUGUCCAUUUUAGCUUCUUUUAAAAAAUUUCUCUCUCCUUUGGGCUUUUUCAAAGUCUCCCGAUACAUCUCAUUCAACUCCAUCUCCUCCAGAAGAUACACAGUAAUUGGGAAAGAUGAAACGCAGCGUUUCGACUACGCAAUCGCUGAAUUGAAGACGGUGUUUAUGGUUUCUUGAUGACGGGGUUUGGGUGCAAAAUAGAACCUUUAACGAGAUCCGGGUAAAGGUCUGGCCCGAAUUCACAGUAUUCUGCAGGCAAACUGCACACCGCACAAUACAGUACUCGAAUCGGUUGGGUUUUCCCGCCAUCAGAGCUCAACCUCAAGCCCUUCUCUCUCUCUCUCUCUCUCUCUCUCUCUCUCUCUCUGUAAUUGGGAAAGAUGAAACGCAGCGUUUCGACUACGCAAUCUCUGAAUUGAAGAUGGUGUUUGUGGUUACUUGAUGACGAUGAGAUAUAUAUAUAUAUCUUUGUUGGAUUACGGGUGUAGACGCCUUAGGCCCAAUACGGUGCGUUUCAUCAAUUUGGCCCAUUCACCAUAUAAGGCUAUCAUGUAUCUGUUUAUGUUUUCUUGGGCAGGUAGGUAGGCACACAUGCUUGAAAUCAAUGAGAAAUAUUUUUGAAAUAAUGUGCAUAUAUUCCCUAAACUUUUUCUUUCAACAAUGGGUGGGAGAGGAGCUUCAAGCUUGAAACAUCUUUUAAUUUUACAAAGAAAAAAAAAUAGUAAAAUAAGAGCUAGUUGAUAUAUAGUUCAUAAGGUUUAAACUACGACUGAUAUGGAUUAUGUUUAUACAUUUCCAAAAUUGAUGUAUUUUCAAAUAAAGAUUGCAAAACACGAUUAUGGAAAAACACAAUAAAAGGGAGUAAUGCUUGAUAAGCAAAUUCUAAUUUAAUUUACAGGCAGAAUCACAACAAAUUCAGGGUAACCAACUGCAUGCAGGCAAAUAUGCAGACAAUAGUAACAUAUUAAAAUCACCAUAUAGCAGUUUGUCAACCCAUGUCUAAUUGUGCACAUGAAAACAAUGGAAAGUAGAGUAAAUUAGCUUAAUAAGCCAGGUAAAAUUCUAUGUAACCCUUUCAUAAUUCGGUUAGAAUUUGGUGAAGAGACUUAUAGCUCAAGUGAUUUAUGAGUAUUUAUCCCAAUAUUUGAGGUCCUAGGUUGGAUUUCUCUUUCCCUAUAAAAAUCCAGUUGGGAUUUGAGUUGCCAUAGCUGAUCACUCAACUUUGUCACACAACUGUUAGAUGCAUGAACGAAACGGGAGAGAUUAAUUGCAGCAGAGUCAAAUUCAAAAACAAAGAAACUGAAGGGCUUUUCCUAAUGAUGACAAAUUGACAAUUGGCUUUGAAACCCUGACUAAACCCAUGCAUUUGCUGCCUUAAACCAAAUAUAAAAAAUAAUAUUUGGGUUUUGUACAAAAUCCAAAUAAAAUUUUAGAUGCCAAAAUAUACUAUCCAACUCAUUAACCAAAAGCUUGAGCCAACUUGAUAUCCCUCUUUAACUCUCAAUUAAAUCCCAAUUUCUUUGCUUUUCCUCACCCUCAAUUGCUUCUGUUUGGUUCAUUUUCAGUGAGAACAAGCAAUCAUGGAAAAUAGGGAUCAGGUUGCAGCUCAAAACUAUGCUUGUGCUUCCUGCAAGCAUCAGAGGAGAAAAUGUGACGAGACCUGUGAAAUGGCCCCAUACUUUCCAGCCAGCAGGUACAGUGAGUUCCAAAAUGCUCAAAAGAUCUUUGGUGUGAGCAACAUCCAAAAGAUCAUGGCCAUGGCUGCACCUGAUCAAAGACAGGCAGCUGCUGAAAGCAUUCUCACGGAAGGGAAUGCAAGGAAAAAUGAUCCUGUGCAUGGUUGUCUUGGCAUUAUCAGAGGUCUCAAUGCCCAAAUUCAGGGACUUGAAAGAGAACUCCAUAUUAUGAAACAGCACCUAGAACUUUGCAAGGAGAAGGAAGAACUUGAUGGGAAAAAAAACCAAUCAAAAGAAGAAGACUUGCAGCAUGAUCAAUCUGAUGGUCUCAAUUUCCCAUCACCAAUCCUCCCUGAUCUGGUAAGACUAUGAUCUCAAUUUUUCUCUGCCUCCUUUUUUUUUUUUUUUUGGUUUAACCAAAACUUCAUACAUAUACACAUAAAUAACUGAUAUGUGAAUAUUUAUUCUGUGUAAUUCAGCCCUCUCAUGUCACGGCUGAGAUGAGAAAAUAUGAACAAGGAUACAAUUACUGGUCAAUUUUGGAAGAUGCAGAAGAGGAGGUCUUUGACAUCCGGCUCAUAGAACCAGUAUUAUUUGAAUCCAAUCUGAAGGGGAAUGCAAGUUCUAGUGGAUCAGGAAAAUCCAGGUUGUGCAAAACUUUAUACUUUGUUUGAUAAUGUUGAUUUGUUGUUUUUGAUUUAUAUAGAGAUGGAGAAGAGAAAGAGGAAGGGGAGAUAGCUAGGUGGGAGGAGAGAUAACAUUGUUGAUAAGGAGCGCGCGAUGAGAUAGAUUUUAAAAAAAUAAAAAUAAAAAAGAAGCAUUAUUUGUAAUCCCCCAAUGCUCCCGCGCUAGCGUGGGGCGUUAAUAGGGUUAUAUAUUACCUAAUUGUCAUUUGUACUCCCACUCAUGACACACACUUCACGUGCAAAUAGCUUCAUCUUUUAAAAGUAAAAGCUUAAAAGAAAUUUUGGAAUCCAUUUUUUGUCAUUUCAUAAUGUGCUCCUUCGUAAAUCACAUUUCUUAUAAUAUAAUUGAUUCUCACAAUAAUUGCAGAAUAUUGAUAAUCUUAGUAAUAAAAGUGAUUAAUGUUUUGCGCCAUUGGUAAUAAGUUUUGAAUUAAUCAUAUUUUUUCUUCUAUGAAAUUGUAGUGCUGCUGCCUCCAAGGCCAAAGAGAAGCAACCUUCAGAGAGUUAGCAAGAUAAAACUACAGAAGAUGAGGCUUGACCAUCCACAUGGAAAUGGUUGCACAUCAAGAAUGAAUUUUACUUUGUGAUCAAAUUUAGUUAAUUUGAGUUGAAAGAUCAUUAGACUUUAUGUAAACCUGUUUUCUGCGUAUCGUGCAUUUUGAGAUUAUCAGUUUUUUCAGUACUUCGUUUUUGCUUCCAGUUCCUCCAACAGCAGAAAUCAAAGACAAGAUAGGAGCGAUGGAUGCAUCUAGUGUUUUUUAAUAUUCUUGCAAAAGCUCAAGCUGGUAUUGAUGUCUUUUACUACUCCUAAAUUAUUCUUUCAUGGUUUACUAAUUUGAAUGUAGUAUCUUAAUAGAAGGAAGAUAAAUUUGUACAGGAAAACAGAUGCAUAAACACAAAUCAGCAGAAAAGUAACCACUCUUGUUUAAAAUGACGAAUGCGGAGCUGUUGCGGCGCUGUUACAUCUUUAGCAACGGUCGAAACCGCCGAGAGGCUAUACCGUUAUACUCGGUUUUUCCAAUUUUUUUUAAAAAGAAAUAGUAUAACCGCACGGCUAUACUCGGAUUUCACCAAUUUUUUUAAAGAAACUAAUUUUUUCCAAAUGGUAUAGCCGUACGGCUUUACUCGGUUCUUUUUUAAAUAGUAUCGCCGUGCGGCCAUACUCGGGUUUUAUUUUUUUUAAAAAGAUAUCGUAUAGCCGGGCGGCUAUACUCGGUUAUUUCUAAUUUUUUUUUAAUAAGAAAUAGUAUGGCUGCGCAGCGAUACUCGGUUUUCAGAUUUUUUUAAAAAAGAAAUAGUAUAGCCGCGCGGCUAUACUCGGUUAUCUCUAAAUUUUUUUAAAAAGAAAUAGUAUAGCCGUUCGGCUAUACUCGGUUAUCUCUAAUUUUUUUAAAAAAAGAAACAGUAUAGCCGUGCUCUAAUUUUUUUAACUUACUCGGUGAUCGCUAACUUUUUUUAAAAAGAAAUAGUAUAGCCGCGCGGCUAUACUCGGUUAUUUCUAAUUUUUUGCUGCAUAGCGAUACUUGGUUUUCAGAUUUUUUUUUAUAAAAGAAAUAGUAUAGCCGCGCGGCUAUACGCGGUUAUCUCUAAUUUUUUUAAAAAAAGAAAUAGUAUAGCUGCUCAGCUAUACUCGGUUUUCAUAUUUUUUUUAAUAAAAGAAAUCGUAUAGCCGCGCGGCUAUACUAGUUUUCACCUAAUUUCUGGAAAAGAAAUAGUAUAGCCGCGCGGCGAUACUCGUUUCCCCCCUAAAAAUAGUAUAGCCGCGCUGCUAUACCCUUUUUUCAAUUUUUUUAAAAGUGUAAAUGAAAUAGUAUAGCAGCACGGCCAUACUAUUUAUUAAAAAAUCACAAUCUUGCAUUUUUCUUCCGACAAGUAAGAAAUAAUCUUAGCCUCUCAAAUUCUUUCAUAGUUAGUAAAAUACGGAAUGGAAAAAAUACUAAUAAAAUACAUACGUGAUUUAUUCAGCAAAGUUUUUGCAAAUUUGCUCCAUCACAUAAACUUAAAAUUUGCUAAAAUGUCGUAAUAACAAGACAAAAGAUUUAAUCAAGGGAACAGUAAAUAUGGAAGAAAACCAAGAAUAAAGAAAUUGAUGAAAUGAUAGAACAAAAUUCGUGCAUUCUUUAAUCAACUAAUCAGCAUUUAUUCUAAAUAACAUAAAACUUGCUUAUUACUAUACCUACAGUUAUGCUCUAAACUAUCGUAUGUCACUUCAAUUUAUGCUCCCUUGUUGCUCACGUUAGCUACAAUCUUGCUUAGGAAUUAUUGGGAUUUCCAUAGAUGGCAAAAGGGUCUCCUUAUAAAUUGUGGCUUUAGCUUCCACUUCCACCACCAACAAACUUGGAGAAUCAAAGAGAGUUCAAGAAAAUAAUCAAAGAAAGUGAGGAGAAAUGGACGCUAGUGUGUUGAGGGCAGUGGUUUUGAUGAGCAUGCUUGUGCUUUCAAUAGCCCAAGCUGAUAUGAAUCCUUCCUAUACCAAUGCGGGUCCAAAUGACAAUCCUCUUGGUCAAGUUGAUGAUGUAUAUCCUCGCUCCAAUACAAAUCAAGUGGUUCCAAAUGGCCAUAUUAUUUCUUGUGGUUUAAAAUGUGCGACAAAGUGCCUGAUGAACCCAAUAUGUCUUGGCAUGUGCAUGAUCAGAUGCAAACAUAGGCCUUCAAAUGUUGUGUAUAAGUGUACACAUAAUUGUGCCAACUCCAUUGCCACCACAAGCACUUCCAAUUCUGGUAAUACGCAUAUUUAAUUACUCUUUUUCUAUAACUUUAUCAUGUUUGUUUGAAAUUAUAUUUUUAAUUAUUGAUAUUCUUUUUGCUUUUGUUUUAUUUGCUUGAUUGUAGAUAACCGCUAUGUGGAAGGUUUCGUGGAUUCAUGCUAUGAGAGUUGCUCCAAGAAUAACCAGAUAAAUUAAUUGAUCGGCUUGUUCCCUAGUUCAACGCAGAUGUCUUGCUGCAGAAAAUAAAUGACCAAUUAUGUCUUUCAUAUCAACUUCUUAUUAAAAACAAGAAUAAGAUUUACGAAAUUACUACUUAUAUUGCUUUAUGGGCCCUGUUUUUUGGGUUCAGCAUGCCGUACGUGUAGUUUCUUCGUUUAUUUCUCUUUUCAUUCAUUCUAGCCAUACGGCCAAGAAGCUCAAGCUUGAGCACCUUCAAACCAUACCCGUACGUUAUCAAUCAACUAAAGAUCCAGACAAACGACAUCUAUUCUAUAAUAUAAUCAAUUUAAUUAGCAUCGUUUGCUGUCAUCCCCACUGAGUUAUACAUUAAUAGAAAACCUCAAAAAAACCACACACAAGGAACUCAAAAUAUUGUUGCCAUUAUCAAAUCAAUAAUGUUAUUUGGAUCACAUUGUUGAUCACCUCUAUUAAAGAGGUGAGCCCCGUCAGUAUAUGUAGGACUCACCUGUAUUCGAGAGAUAAUCAGCAAUGCAGUCUAAAUAGCAACACCAACAACCUUAUCAAAUAGUAUAUCGUUGGAACAUGACGAUCAUAUAAAAAUAAAAUUAAUAUAUUAAAAAGGUGUAUAGACAAACUUGGGGAUGAACACAUAAAAGAAUUUGGAAAUCGGUUUUUGUGGAUUGAAUUUUCUAUAAGUAAGGACUGGAAAACAAAGAAACUAACAAUUUGUAAUUUUCUAUAUUACGCUGAGUUAAACUACAGAAUCGAGUAGCUGGACUUGUUGUUUUUAAAGAGGCCUGACAAAAUGUUAGAUUGUAAUGUUCAUAUAGAAUUAAUGAAACUUAGCUUUUAUUUAAAAAUAAAAAGAAAGAACAAGAUUUAUACAUAUAUACAUAUAUAUAUUGGAAAAGUUGUGAAUCUAUGAUGCUAUUUUUACAUAUAUGUUUUGCUUGUCUAGAGAAAUAACUACAAGGAGAGGUUUCACACACACACACACACAAUUAAAAAUGCCAUGGGGGCAAAAUAAAAGCAUAGCAAGCCAACUUCACUAGGCACAUAAUUGUGCCGACAAAAAGACUUAAUCAAAUGGACUCGAUGCAAAUGAUCGUCAAAGAAAAAGGCUCCAUUACAGUCAAGAUCAACUAAAUCAAUUAGUCACAGCUCGUUACUUUCCCAUCAAGUUUGAAUUCCCUUUCCGUAAAUUAGAUUAAUUUAAAAUAAUUUAAACUAUCUCUAGUAUGAUUUAUUUCAAGAAAAAUGAUAGUCCGUUCCGUCCUGUUUUUUAUUUGGCGUGACAAAGUUCAAAGUCACAACAAAUUAGUGACCAACCUAAUGUUGCCCUAAAUCUCUAGAAAUAGAAAAGGAAAAUCAUAGUUAUAUAUGAUUUUACUUGGAACGAGGGUCCAAGUGAUGCAACAGUCAAACCCUGGAACCUUUAAAAAACAGUUAGGAUCCGAAACCUCUCCACCGUUUUACACUCUCCUCUGACAGGAGUGGGUGAGCUCAAAUCAAGGUGGACCCACACAGUUAAACUCCCAGCAGACACAUCAACAGGUACAGUGACAUAGAUACACCCAAAGGGCUAAAAUUGGUCAUCCACAAUUUUGUUGAACAGUUAUAUUUUGGCCUUUGAUUUUGAAGUCUGUAAACUGCAGGUGCCAGCUUUCAAAUCUGAAGCAAUUGAGAGCAGAUAUCAAAUUAUGGGGAGGAUGGAGUAUUUGGCUCUGAAGAGUAGUGAUCCAGACACCAAUGAGUUGAUAAAUUCAGACAUCAAUGAUCUCAAGAUUGCAGCCAAGAAACUCAUCAAUGAUGCCACUAAGCUUGGUGGGUUGGGUUUUGGGACUUCUUUUCUCAAAUGGGUUGCCUCCUUUGCUGCCAUGUGAGUCAUCUUAUUUGUUUCCUUGAGGACCGAGUUGCUUUAAGCUUUGUUUUAUUGGCUGGAAUUGGGAAAGUGACACUGAUGUGCGCCCUUUUUGAUUUUCUAAUUGUUAAAAAGGGAAAAGUCAAGAAAGUGAUUUUUUAAAAAUCUUCCUCUCUUGAGUAUAAUAUUUCAUUCCCUUAAUCUGGGAAAAAGGAAAACAAUGUAUCACAGUUUCCUGCAUAUGUUUAUUUUAGUUAUUGUUUUCUUUAAGAUUUUGGCCUUCCUAUUUAUUGAAACAUCCAUUGUUAGUCUGUAACUUCUUGUUUUUGGUCCACCAAUAUGUCAGAACUUGACCUGUUAUGUUUCACACCUAAAUUUUUCUUCCCCUCCGAGAAACACUUAUGUGAAACGGGUAUAACACUAUUUUGCUAUGUGCGGUCAAUCAUGGCAUGCCAAGCCUGAUAACUUUUCCAAGUGGGAAUAUGUUUCAUACAAGUUUUUACGCUUCCUGAGGCCCAGUUCAUCCUGUCUUUAGCUGUGACCUAAAUCCCAUAUCAUCUAAAGUUUUUAUAUGGUCAAUAGUCUAGAAAGCCAUUGAUUGACAUGAAGUAAGCCACGAAUUGACUUACUUUUUGUUUUUGGGUAUGAAAUAAGUUCAAGUAGAUUAGCUUGUGGCCAAGUAGGGCUCAACAGAUCAAAAAUAUGUGCCCCAACCCCUACUAUUUUACUUGGAUGCACCAACACAUAAUUUUGUCCAUUCUGAUGUCUAUUUCCAUUGAUGUAACCCUAUAACUCAGACUUCUGCUUGGUUAUCCAUUCUGAUAUCAAUGAGUUUCUGGUUCCAUGGGCUACUUCACUGGAUAGGGUAUAAGCUUUACAUGAAAGUCCCUUCCAAGUUAAGCCCUUUAAUGGUGUUUUACUUCAUUUCCAGCAUGUGGUUGUUAUGGAUAUGAGCUAGUGUUGUACAAGAAAGCAAUGCUCAAGAUCUAGUCCUUGCUUGGAUACCAAAAGAAUGUGAAACAAUGAAGAAUGCUAACUGUUUUGGACCGUCGUGCAUUUUGGUGGUGUUAUUUUCACUCAGACAGAGUUUAAUUGUUGCUGUUUAGAAUUUAUUUGUUUUCUCCAAAUAAUUAGCCCUUGAUUCAAACCAUACGAUCAAGAGGCUUCAAUUGUUGACAACUAAUUACUGAACACUGUCUCUGAUGUCCUAUCACUCGCCUAAAUUGAUUCAAUCAUCAGUUAGCAAUUCCAUCUGUAUAAUAUAAUAUGCCCUGCAUAUUUGCCUCGAUUGCUUCUUCCCAUUGGCUGUUACCUGCUGCAAGAGCACAUAAACUUCCAGGUUAGAUUUUGUUCACUAGUACAAAAUUUGUCUGAGAAAGUAUUUUCAAUGCUGCAGAUAUCUGUUGAUAUUGGAUCGAACCAACUGGAGAACAAAUAUGCUGACUUCACUUUUAAUCCCUUACAUUUUCUUCAGUCUUCCUUCAGUGCUCUUCAACCCCCUAAGGUGAUAAUUUCUCUUAUUGGUGCACAUUUUCUUGUUUGCUUUUCACAUCCUUCUUUUGUUCUCAAUAAUCUCAACUCAUUGACAUUUCUUCAAUAUAAUGCAGAGGAGAGGUUGGAAAAUGGAUUGCUUUUAUUGCUGUUGUACUGAGGCUUUUCUUCCCAAGACAUUUCCCAGGUAUAGGCUCAAGUCACUGCACUGAUUUUUCUCUAUCCUUCUCAAUUCUACAGACUUAAGUUGCUUUGUCCCAAAUAUAUUAGUCUUCACAACCUCAACUUUAUCAAAAAAAAAUUAUAAGCAUUAUGGUUUUUGUAUUAGUCUUCAAAUCAUAGCCUUGUUCUAUGAUCCUAAUUUCAUUGCAGAUUGGCUACAGAUGCCCGGUUCGUUGAUCCUUCUUCUUGUUGUGGCUCCCAACUUUUUCGCGCACACAUUGAAGGACAGCUGGGUUGGUGUCUUGAUAUGUCUUCUCAUUGGUUGUUACCUGCUGCAAGAGCACAUCCGGGCUUCAGGUGGCUUCAGAAAUUCCUUCACACAGAGCCAUGGAAUAUCAAACACUCUAGGAAUUAUCCUUCUCUUAGUCUACCCUGUUUGGGCAUUGGUUCUCCAUUUCAUCUAAGCAUUGUAGUAAACAACAGUUUCUACCAAUUGUUCAUGUGCUGCAACUUGCAAACAGCAUAUCUCCAUCUUCUCUUUAUAAGAAUUGGAUUUCAGUUGCAAUUCUAUCUGUUGAUCAAAUUUUGGUUUCUGCUUCUACUCCAAUUAAUUUGAAUAUGCAACACUGAAAUAUAUGCAGUCCAGAAAAAAGGUCUGAAAUAUAGAAAGGAACAUUAUCUCUCUGUGGACUGUCACUGAGUCUUCAUUUAGUGAAUCAGGAACAUUCAAAGUAAAACAUUUUUGGAAUACCAAAAUCUCUCAAUUGUUAGCUGUUUCUGUCUUCUCCCAAUGAACACCCUUUUGGACAUUGCAUCAUGAAACAUAUUCCCUCCAAUUGAUUAAUGAAAUUGUCAUCGAUGGUUUUGUUAGUACCAUACCAUUGUUUUGGUCUCACGCUUAGCCCCCCUGCUCGUAUAAUGUAACACAAUUUAUAGGGAAUCCAAAUACAAACCCAUGGACAUAGUGAUUUUACAGUUUUACGAGCAUGUGGGCAUUGCAGUUUUAUCAUAAACCUGGUGUUCCUGUGUGAUUUUACAAUUUUAUUAUCGAUCAUUCAAUUUUUGUCAUCAACAAAUUUCAGUCUCAAUUGUAUAUAUACGAAUGCUAGGGGCAUUGCAUAUGUGAAUUAAGUCAGUUAGCUGAAUAUUGUGUAUGAUCUCAUACACUCGAGUUUAAAUCCCCCUCCAUUCAAUUUAGAAUUCCAUUUUGUCAAAAAAAUUGGCAGGCAGUUCAGGUUAAGAAUUUCUCAACAUUUUUUUUGGAUUCAACUUUUGUAUAACCGCAUUCAUAUAAAACCGCCUAAAAAUGUGAUUUUCUUUUUGUUGUUUAUGUAUUUGGGUUUAUAUAUUAUUUGCAGGCAGAGGAUUUACUUGAGGCGCCUAAAAGCGGCAAGGCCCAAAAUUUAUUAGCCCAUACGUACAAGUUUAAACUUCAAAUCUAGGGCCCAUGGUUGCGUUCUGUCAAUGAUGGCAUAUUGGUAAAUUCCAGCACCGCGAAAACCCAAAACCCUAACCCUAAACAGCCUCACUGAGGCCUAUAAAACCAACACACGAAUUGAGUAACGGAGACCAUCGCAAGUCGAAAUCAACCUUCUCCAAGUCGCUCUUCCGUUUUGCUCUGUCUUUUGCUCUGCGUCGUCGCAGUCAUAGGCUAAUCAUUCUGCUUUGAUUUUCCAUUAAUGUUUGCUUUGUUAUUCUCAAAAUAUCUUCCUUCCUUUGUUUUCUCUUUAUUUUGAUUCUGAAAUCUGGGUUUUUGAAGUGUGUGUUGGGGAUUCUCGGUGAUGAACAACAAUGAUGACGAGUCCGAUCCAUUCAUAUAUAAAAUCGUGACGACAAAACGAGGCAUUUGUCUGAGAGAAUAAUGCCCAAUUUACCAUUCUUUUCAAUCUUUCUUCCUUUUUUUUUUUAAAUAAAUAUUUUCUGGGUUUGUUUAGAUUAUUUUGUUUUGACGAUUUAAAGGCAGGCAUGGUGAUGAUGUGUAUCAUCUGAUAUUCAUUUUUGAUGAAUUUACUUACCUCCUACUCAUACUGAAUGCCUGCUCAUCAAAUUCUAAUUUCCCUUCUGAUUAAAGUUUUGAUCUUUUGUUUUCGUGUGAUUUUGAUAUAAAAAGCUUUCGAUUUUCUCUUUGAAAAUAACAAAUUUUUUGUUUUUUCUUUGUGGGAACUGGGUUUCUGGUGUUCCUCAAGUGUAGAGAGAGAAGGAUGAUGUAGCGAUGAUGAUAAACUCAGUAUCACUCUCAUGUGUACAUUGAGGAGCACCGAUGAUUUUGUUUCAAGCACUUUUGAGCUUCUCUCUCUCUCUCUCUCUGUGAUUUUGGUUUUUUGUUUUUCUGAAUCUGUGAUCUGUUAACAAUCAGUACCAAUGCAAUAUGGAUACAAGAAGUUCGGCUGAAUCUGUUUGCAAUUCUGAUCAUGAACUGUUUGCUACUAUAAAAUAAAGUAAAUUAAUUUCAGACCACUUAAGAAUUUAAGCUGAUGAAGCAGGAAUUUAUUGUUGGUCUGAGACUUAACAAAAUAAUUUCAAACAGAGGUUGAAUUUGGAUUCUAAUAUGGCCUGGAUGAAUGAAACUUUAAGAAAUUAAGCUGAAAGUGAAAGAUCCAUUCUUUUGGGAAUGUGAAAAACCCGAAACAAUUGCCAAUGAGGAUUUGUUGAGUUGGUAAGGAUCCCAAUGGGUACCCUCCCCUUCCCCUAAAUUUUUGUUCUUAAAAAUAAGAGACCCCAAACAAUUACUUGUACCAUGAGCUAGAAUGAAGAAGAAUGAAACUGUCUAGAGCAAACUCUGAACUCUAUACAGAAUACAAGUUUACUAUUUGUACGAGCGGAGGAAGAUUUUUGUUACUCAGAAGAGAUCUAUUAAUAGCUACAAUGAAAAGUAUUUGUCAUCAAGGCCUAUUAGCUCAGCUGGUUAGAGCGUCGUGCUAAUAACGCGAAGGUCGCAGGUUCGAGACCUGCAUGGGCCAACUUUUUAACAAUUUUUUGCUUCCUACAUGUGCGUUGCUUUUACUCUUAUAAAAACCUUUCUCGACUCUGAGUUGCGGGUUCGAAACCGGCUGCUUUCAUUUUUUAUCACUUUUCUUUUCUUUUUCUGGUUUUCUGAAUGAUUAAUGUCACAUUCCCCUUCAUUUGUACUAUACUUGCAAAAGUCUACAUUGUAGACAAAAUAAAACAUUGAUAAUAUGUGGAGUAGGAGGGAAAGGAUAUGACCGUGCUCAUCUGACCACCAGUAUCUUUAUCCCAAACAAGAAGUUUGCCACUUGGCAAACAACACAUCUAAACUCAUUACCUUCAUUCAACCAAUGAGAGAGCAAGCCUUAUCCUAUCCAUUAUCCAACUCACUCCAAAGCCCACCAAAUAACUCCCCAAUUGCCACACAAAAACUCUUCCAAAUACUCUGUUUCAAACACAGAGAUCACAUUGGAACUGCAAAACAACACCAACCAUGGCAGCCUCACUCCAAGCAGCUGCUACUCUUAUGCAGCCCACCAAGGUGGGCGCGCCGGCAAGGACCAGCCUUCAGCUCAGGCCCUCCCAGAAUGUCUCCAAGGCCUUUGGCUUGGAACCAUCUGCCUCUGCUAGGCUCACUUGCUCUCUGCAGUCUGAUCUCAAGGACUUUGCUCACAAGUGUGUUGAUGCCUCUAAGAUUGCUGGCUUUGCUCUUGCUACUUCUGCCCUCGUCGUCUCGGUAUGCUGCUUAAUUCCAUUUCACUGCUUGAUUAGUUUCUUACUUCAUGUGCUUACAACUGUAUAAAAGAAGAACAAUGAUGAAUUUUAUUAUCUUUAUUAUGUAUGUGUAUAGGGUAUGAACUUUCUAUGGUUUAGAGGGAUGUAGAUUAGUUUGUGGUACCUGUUGUAUAUACAAAGGUUUCAGAUGUUCUCUGUGGCAUGCUAGAUAUUUGACAAGUUAUGUUGCUAGAAUGACACUCUGAAUGGGACAUCAUUUGGGCAUAAGUCGAUCUGAUAUGAUGAGUUUAGAUUCACCAUUUGAUAACACAAUCAUCGGAUUUUCUAUCGUUGUGCUCGAUGGAUCUCACAUAAACAAUUUAGAUCGACAGUCUGACAACAUAAUGUCACUGUAGUUGUUAGAUUUCAUUUCAAUUCUGGUGGUGAUGAAUGGUGAUUAACAUUUUAUCAUUGUUGGCAACCACUUGUGUUUCCAGGGAGCAGGUGCAGAGGGAGUUCCAAAGAGGCUGACCUUUGAUGAAAUCCAGAGCAAGACAUACUUGGAAGUGAAGGGGACAGGAACUGCAAACCAAUGCCCAACCAUUGAUGGAGGGUUAGAAGCAUUCGCCUUCAAGCCGGGCAAGUACACCGCCAAGAAGUUCUGCCUAGAGCCCACAUCCUUCACUGUCAAGGCAGAGAGUGUGAACAAGAAUGCUCCACCAGAGUUCCAAAACACCAAGCUGAUGACCCGUCUAACCUACACCCUCGAUGAGAUCGAAGGGCCUUUCGAAGUGUCCCCAGAUGGCACUCUCAAGUUUGAGGAGAAAGAUGGGAUUGACUAUGCUGCAGUCACAGUCCAGCUCCCCGGAGGCGAGCGUGUCCCUUUCCUCUUCACCAUCAAACAGCUUGUAGCCUCAGGCAAACCCGAAAACUUUGGAGGGGAGUUUCUAGUACCAUCGUACCGCGGUUCUUCUUUCUUGGACCCAAAGGGUAGAGGAGGCUCCACUGGUUAUGACAAUGCCAUUGCAUUGCCAGCAGGAGGCAGAGGAGAUGAGGAGGAGUUGGCCAAGGAGAACAUCAAGAAUACUGCUUCAUCAAAAGGGAAGAUCACACUGAGUGUGACCAAGAGCAAGCCUGAGAGUGGAGAGUUGAUUGGAGUGUUUGAGAGCAUCCAGCCAUCUGAUACUGAUUUGGGAGCAAAGACUCCAAAGGAUGUCAAAAUCCAGGGAGUCUGGUAUGCUCAGCUUGAUUAAGUAGGCCUCUUAUUAAAUUCCCUGUAUGUAUUGAUGUACUUACUCAUUCUGGGUUUCAGAUUUUGCUAUAAAAGUGAAGGUCUUGCUGAACUUUCUUUGUAACCCAAUUGGCCAUGCACUCAGAUCAUUGAGAUCAUUAUCUUUCUUGUAUAUUAUCAUGCCCUAUUAUUAUGAAAAUCCCUCAAUUAUUCCAAACCUCCACAGCUUCAAUGAUCACAAAUUUGAGCCUGAAAAUUGUGAUCAAAAUUAUUAAUCAAAUGGGAGCAUGAAUAUUUGAGAUGGGUUUGGAUUGGGAUCGUUUCCAUGGAAAAACAAAAAGAAAAAAACUAAACAAAAGCAUGGCCAUUCAAAUAAGGUUCAUCCUGUUCAUGAUCUUUCUUUCACUGUAGCUAAUUUGCUUUCUCAUAUCCUUUUAU
rnacentral:lncRNA from 1 species